rnacentral:lncRNA from 1 species
GACGGAUGCUACUCCGCCGGGUUGGGUCUGGCCCAACACACGGCUCUCAGCGCUCUGCAUCAUGGCGGCGUCUUCUGGCGCAAUGGGCUUCUGUGCGAGGUCACCGGAAACGGGUAAAACGUCGCCGUAUUUAAAUUGUGUGUAUGUUUGCUUUGUUUGUGCUGUUUAGGAUAGCUUGCUGCCUGUGCAAGUUAGAUAGAAACCUCAACCUAGGACCAUGGUGGAUUUAUAUGAUAACUAUUAGGCUCGAGUCAGACUCCCUUCUAGUUUGUCAUUUCCCCGUCUCUGAUUAGGUUAGAAGUUUCUCCCCUGUUAAGGGGAACUACGUUGCCCUGAUCCUCAUACCAGAUGAGGUACGUAGGCAGGAGGUCGUACGAGAUCUCUCCGGGCACCCUUUUUCUUUUUGUGUGUGUUUGCUUGACAGAUGCCCUGAUCCUCAUACCAGAUGAGGUACGUAGGCAGGAGGUCGUACGAGAUCUCUCCGGGCACCCUUUUUCUUUUUGUGUGUGUUUGCUUGACAGUUAUUAGGCUCGAGUUCCAGACUCCCUAUUAACUCGUCUGUUGGUUAACCUUCGGGUGUGUGUUAGGAGACGGAUGUAAGACCAGCGAUUGGCAGUCCGUAUCCUAUUCGUGGUUUGUUUGUGUGGAGUCUGACGUAAGUCCAGCGAUUGACAGUUGGUUUCCUGUGUUUGUUUGUUGGUUCGGAGUCUGAUGUAAGUCCAGCGAUUGGCAUUCGGUUUCCAUGCUUGCCUGUUUGUGUGGAGUCUGACGUAAGUCCAGCGAUUGGCAGUCGGUUUCCAGUGUGGGUUUUGUUUGGCGUGCGUGAGCCGAACUACGGUAGCUCUAAUUCUCAUUCCCGAUGAGAUACGUAGGCAUAGGAUGCGAUAUCCUAGCGAGCCCGUUCCCCUCUUCUUCCAUCUGUGUUGUUUCCAGUGUGUGCGUGCAUUCUUUUGAGCGGUGUUUAGCAACCUUUCUUCUAUUCUUUUGAGUGUGGAUCCCGUCGAGUACGACAGAUGCGUAGGGGUGCCAAUACCUUCCCUUCGCAUAACCGACUCCCGAUCCCAUCUCUCUCUGGUCGCGAGACCAUGUCUUUUCCAGGUUUACUUCGAGCGUUUCCUUUCCCUCUUUUGGGAUAAAUAACGAGACCAUGUCUUUUCCAGGUUUACUUCGAGCGUUUCCUUUCCCUCUUUUGGGAUAAAUAACGCACGGUGGCGGCUCUGUUUGUUUUGUUUUUGCCCGCCGGUUGUUUUUCGCGGAUGCGACACCCAUUAAUCGAUCAGUCAGUGCUCUAGAUAAGAAUGUUGGAAUUAAACCCAAAACUUUGAGUAAUUCCAAGUCAAUCUUGAUAAACAAGAUUCAAUCAACCGAUCAAAUUUUCUCAUGUUUUCACUCUUCACUCGAGUGAAUCAACCAACAUUGAUUGCGAGAUUGUAUCGCUGCACAACGAUGAUGAAAAUAAGAUAAGAAAAUUAAAUUUAGGAAGAAAGGAAAUUAAAGUUUUAUCGAGAGAGGGAAAGAAGAAGAGUUUUUGUAGAGUAAUUUUCUACUCUCAAACUGAGAUUUUAUUCUUUACAACUGCAAGAUUCAAGUAUUUACAAUAAUAUGGAUUACUCCCUAUUUAUAGAUUUUGGGCUUAUUUACUUCUCAAGAAAGAUCUAAAACUAACCUAACUAAUUCAGUUAAACAAACAAAUAAAAUUAAAUCCAACAUUACUGUCGCGAUACUCUUCGACAUUUUCGACACCUAGGUGAUUCGACACUUCUUUACUUCUGUCGAACAACAUGCUUCGACACAUGGAAUUACAAUUCGACAGUCAUUUGUAAAGAAUCAAUCUUCCAUCAUCCAAAUCAAAUCAAAUAAAACGUAUAAAAUAAAUCAUACAAAACAUAACAACUUAAGUGAAAUCAAAUCUAUAGAGUUCCUAUUUUACAAUUAUUUUAUGGGUGAAUAUACAUGCUUCUAAACCUAAAUGAUCUGAAUAUAUACCAACACAUGUAAUCUGACACACGAACAAUCCAAUGCGCAUGCAAGAGAUGCAUAUUAUGCAUGCCUUUCAGAACUCUCACUAAAUUACAUCAUUUUAAUAUUCAUUUUUCACAAACUAAAUCUUUCUCAAACAUAAUCAAAAUUCUCUCAUUCACAUCACAAUCACUAUAAAAAAAUCACAAAAAAAAAUAAAAUUUCAUCCUAGUCACAUUAUCAUUCUCAAAAAUGUAUUAUAUAAAACUAUACAUUAUUUAUAUAAAACUAUACAUUAUCAUUCUCAAAAAUGUAUUAUAUAAAACUAUUAUUCAUAUUGAAUAUGAUUGUGUUUCAAUUCACUUUUUCUCUUAAAAAAAAUUAUGCAUUAUUUCAUUUACUUUUAUAAUAUCUAAUUAUUUACUUCUAUAAUAUCUAAUUAUUAAUCGGAUAAUCAAUAUAUUAUAAUAUCUAAUUAUUAAUAUUAUAUAAUUAAUAAUAUCUAACUAUUAAUAUCGCUACAAUCAUUUUAUUCCGUGACUCCUCACUAAUUUUGUUUUUGAUCAUUUGUAAUUUUUUUACUCCCUUUGACUCUGAUAAUUUACAAAUAAAUAUAAAAAAAGUAAAGUUUUUAAAUUAGAUAAAAAUAAAUUACUCCAAAAUAGAAUUCAAACUGAUACAAAUAUUACUUACGUUCAUUUUAACUCUAAAGUUUAUCAAUUAAAUAAAUAAAAAUAAUGAACUCUAAAGUUUAUCAAUUAAAUAAAUAAAAAUAAGAUAAAUAUAAAAUGUCAAACAGAGGAAUUUUUUUUUAACAGCUUAGUUGAUUCCGAUUUACUAUAGCAGGUUUUUUAUGAACAAAAAGAUUAUUUCUUUUCCUUUUUUAUUUGUUAUUUAAUUAUUCCCUUAGUUACUUAUCAUACCCCUUUUAUUUUUAAAACUUAAUUAAAUUAAACUAAGUAGUCACUUAUUUAUUUUAUUCGUUUAUACUAAAAUAUCAUUGAUCAAAUAUUCUAAUAUUCUAAUAAGCUCCAUUUUAUUUUGUUGAUCAUCCCAUUUUGGAUGAGUUAGUUGCAUAUUUGAUUUAUAUAUGUGAUUUUGAAAAUUUAUUAAUAAUCGGCCACUAAAUUAACUAUAAUAGUAAUCUAUCAUGGAUAUUAACAUAAGUGAAAAACACAUACACCCGAAAUAACUUGAACAAAAGCAAAGCAAACACCAAGAAGACACAAGAACCACUUGUAAUCUUCUCUCAAAAAAGAAAAAGAAACUACUAAUUAAUAUACACCACCAUUCAUCAUCACGGUUACAUUACAUUAGUAACACUUUCAUUGAGCCUAGCAGCCGCAGCAACAGAAGCAGCUACACCACCAGGAGUAGCAGUAGCAUCAGGACUGUUCCUCAUCUCCGCACUCGCCACCCCCGCAGCAUCAACGGAACAGCGGCGGAAUAGACGGCCGUUGAAGCGUCAUCGAGGACAAAGAACAUCGCUCAGCUUAAUCUUCUCAUCCUCACGAGGACAAUCAGCAUUAAAAGCUGCAGCUGAUUGAGCCAUUGAAGCUAACCCUCCCGGUGUUAUAACAUUACUCCCCGUAGCUCUCACCUCCGCCGCCUGUAUUGCGGCGGCAUCACUCUGUUCCACUGGCUUUUGGCCCACGGUAUAUGAUGUCGCCUCCAGUGCUUCCCCUAUGGUUAAGGCACUCUCUCGAACCGGACUGGUUGGAGCACACUGAAGCGGAGUCGGUUCAACAAAUUGUCCAACAACCUUAAAUUUAGCAGAACACGAGGUUAAAAAUAAGUGAAGUUAAAACAGAAAAGUUUGUAAAAGGAAUUAACAGAGCCGCUGGUUAAGAACCUGUCCACCGACUGAUUCGGUUACUAUGCGUCUUCCUGGGAGUUGAGUUUCCGUGACGGUGACGCCACGGUCGCCGGUGACAUCUGUGACAUCUUUGUGCCCGACGAUUCCUGCCUGCUCAUUCUUAGUAGCGGCUGCUUGCAUGACGGAUGCUACUCCGCCGGGUUGGGUCUGGCCCAACACACGGCUCACACGGUCGCCGGUGACAUCUGUGACAUCUUUGUGCCCGACGAUUCCUGCCUGCUCAUUCUUAGUAGCGGCUGCUUGCAUGACGGAUGCUACUCCGCCGGGUUGGGUCUGGCCCAACACACGGCUCUCGGCGCUCUGCAUCAUGGCGGCGUCUUCCGGUGCAAUGGGCUUCUGUGCAAGGUCACCGGAAACGGGUAAAACGUCGCCGUAUUUGAUUGGUUCUUGAUUGGUAUGACGUUUAGGUUGUUCCUGGCUCAUUUUGCUUUGAUUAGAUUAGAGUGAAUUCGUAUGUUUGGUGAGAAAAUUUGUAGCUAGUUUGUUUGAGUUUUGGAUGCGUAUAGUUUAGCUUUGAAAAGGUAUAUUAAUAGAUUGGAAUGGAGGUGGAAAAGAGAGUUCGUGGCAAAAUACUACACAUGGCAAGUGAUGGCAAGGAGACGUGGCAUGUUUGUUUGGAAUCCACAUAGCAUUCGUUUGCAAAAUUCAUUAAUAUUAAUGUUAAUUAAAAGAAAUCAAAUAUAUUUUUCAUAUGAUUGACAGUGAUAGUGACAAGGCAAUAGUGCUCAUGUUUUUAGAUUGAAUAUAGAUGGUACUAGUAUUUAAAGUUUAGUUGGAUCAAACUAUUAUUUAUAUAUUUUUGUAGAUGCAAAAAGUAAGCUAUAUAUGACCUUAUUGGCAAUGAAUCAAUGAAUUAGUUAAGUAUUACUUUAAAUGUUCUCUGAAUAAGUUAUGUAGUUUCUUCUAUUGCUAAACUUAUAUCUAAGAUUCUUUAGUAUGCUCUUAGACGGGUUGAUGUUAUUUUUAUGUUAGAUGAACUUGGGCCUUUACGAUAUACCACUUCACAUUUUUUUUCUCAACCAUGAUACCUCUAGGAAAAAAGUGAUUAGGUAAAAAAUAAAUGUAAGGGACCAAGUAAUUAAAUAAAAAAAAUAUGGUGAUUAACUAAGAAAUAAAUAUAAGGUCUAUAAAGGCGAAGUGUUUAAGCAAGAAAUAUGGAAGUUCACAAUCCAUUAAGUUUGAGGUCUCUAAGAAUGAACUGAUUAAGUAAGAAAUAUGGAAGUUAUGAGUUGGAGUGGUUGAGGGCAAAACCUGUCAAUCCAAGAGGCGAUAUGCUUAAUAAUUUUUCUCUGUUCUAGUCUUUGAAGCAUGUAUAUAUAGCCACUUUAGUCUUAGUAUUGAGAUUGUAUCAUUGUGUAGUUUAAGAAAAUAUGUCAUUUCUUGAGGGAAAGAUCUCGGUCACACCUUGGCGAAUCUCACUUCUGUAAGCAAUGGGGCAUACAACUCGUCAGCGAAGAUGUAACGUAAUGUGGGGAGCUUACCUUUAUAACUCGGUAAGUGCCUCGCCUCAUAAACAAUUAUCUAAGUUUUUUGUAAGUGUUUCAUGUGAUCUAAAGUGAGUGGAUUGAGGUAUGGACUAUGUGAAUAUUUGAUUCUUUGUAUUUUGUUGAGUAAAUCACAACUUGACGAGUUUGUUCAACUUAUCUCAACUCAUGGAGUAUAUUUAGAUGACCUAUUAUAUGCACUACCACAAAAAAAUAUUUUUUACCACAAUUAUAAAUGUGGGUUAACAUUGACUUCUUAUGCGAGGUAACAAAUGUCAUCAUGAAAAGUGUGUCAUUUUAUCUUUAAGUUGAAAUUCCAUCAAAUGGAGUGGGUAAACAUAAACAUUAUACAAAAAAUAUUCAUUGUUUACACCAAUUGCAGAGGCAAAUUAGCACACACACCUUAUAUUUUUAUUAAAAAAUUAAACAAAUGAUUAAUCAACAAGAGCAAAAAUUAAAAAGCAAAUUCUUGAACGACCGCCCAUAAGUUUUUUUUUGUGAGUUUUGUAAUCGGUCGUUAAGUACAUAUAAUUUGAACCAUAUUUGAAACAAAUAAGGAUAAUCAACAACAACAACAUUAAAUCUGUAAAUCAUUGAUCUCAACAACAACAACAUUCAACAUAAUUCAAACUCAAAUAUCAAUAACAACAACAACAAAAACAUUCAAAAUUCAAUAUCAACAACAUGCAUGAAUAACUAUAACUAAUAUAAAUAAUUUAUAAUCAUAUAUGAAUGUCACAAAGAAUAACACUUACUUUAGAGAUUUUUAAUUUUCUGACUUUUACUUCUAAAAUUAUGCAACAUAUGGUAUCCUUCAACAUCUCUACAUGUUGGAAAAAAUAAAUAUUAAUAAAAAGAAUACAAAUGUAAAAUAAAUAAAUAUAUAUUAUUAAGUCAUAUAAAAUAUUUACUUACUAGUUUUGAUAUAUUCCCUCUUGAUGAUCAUGAUGAAUAAUACGUACAUUAUCUGGAUCAUUUUUUUCAAAUGAGGGACGCACAUGUGUUGUGAAAGAAGGAGUCUCAAAUUUAAAUCUUAAUUUUCAUCAUUAUUAUUUAGAAGUAUGUUUUCCUUGUAAAACAAAUGAUCAUCUAGUGUUUGAAGAAUUAGUGACAGAAAAAAAAAAUUACUUGGAAUGUCACGAUGAAUGGUUGAUUCAUAUAAGAUGUCCUACGAAGAUUAACCCGUGUGAAUCUUAAUUCAUCAAUUUCUACAUCAUUGUUACUAUCAAUUCACUUGCACUUAAAUAAAGGCACUUUAAAAGUAACAUAAUGAAUCUCCAAAAUAUCCUCAAUGACCCCAAAGUACACUCUAGAUUCUAGUACAUGAUUGUUAUCUUUGAAACUAGAUAAUCACUUUAAAAGUAACCUAUUUUUAGCUACUUGGCAUCAUGAUGCAUGACGGCCAACCCGUCAUAACAUACUGAAAAAGGAUCCUGAUCGUGGGUCCAUGAGAAACGUCACGAUGCAUGACGGAAAACUCAUCAUGGUUCUUAAGCGCACACCCUUUUCUUUCCUUCUAAACUACUGACUAUCACUCCAUUUUGAGGCAUGACGGCCAUUACACCUUUUGUACUCAUCAUGACAGUCUGCAACUUUCCAGUUCACUACUAUAGAACACACUUAUCAUAAUUGUUGGAAAAAGGGAUAUAACCACGUUCGAUCAAUUGUUGUGAGGUAAUGUGUGAUUGUAUUGAUGCUUUUCAUCACAUGUGUAUGACUGUUGUGAUAAACUAGGUAGCACAUUAUAUAUCACAACGGUCAAAGUAUAUAAAGCGAAAAGACAUGAGUUCGAAACCUAGUGAUUAUAUGGUUUGUAAUAUUUAGCGCUCUAUCUAUAACAAUGGUUUGUAUAAAUAACCAUGAUUAAAUUCUUUUUUAUUUAAUAUUAUUUUAUUUUUCCAUAUAUUACAAACCUGGAUGUUUCUUACCUGUAUAUUAUACAUAUAUUAGCGAAAUAUUUACAAAAUAUCAAAUUAAGCAAUAAAAAUAUAUUUACAACCAUCAAAGACGAAGUCAUACAAUACCACCCCCUUUUCAACUAAUGCAUCGAAAAUAAACGUCAAACGUCUACGAACGUCGUCUAAGUCAUCGAGAGAGAAAGGUGUCAUGUUAUUAAACGUCUACAUAAACAAGUGAAAAAACUUGAAUAUCACGUUAUUUGAAUAAUAAUAGAAAAUUACUUUAACAUUAAUAUGUUAUUGUAAACAUUUCAUGACAAUAUACAUACCUAAUCCCACGAAUGAACAAUGUCAGCAAAGACGAUGUUAAAGAUGUGUUUCAUUACAUAGUACUCACACUCAUAUCCUCUUAUUAUUUCCUAGUCUACAAAUUUAAACAUUUCAUGAAUAUAUAUAUAUAUAUAUAUAUAAUAUAUAUAUAUAUAUAUAUAUAUAUAUUAUAUAUAUAUAUAUAUAUAUACGAAAUACGAUCUUUUUUCUAGAGUUGUUCAACCUAUAGUGUUUCUCCACAACCUUAUAUAUUGAAAAAGAUUUAAAAAUAUUACACGCUAAAAUAACUACUUAACUAUUUCAUUUAUUUUUUCUAUUAAAAUAUAUAUUUUUGACGGGAAAGAUUACUUAAGUUAUAUAUCUUUUAUAUAUAUUUCUUAAUCAUCACUAUACUAUAUUUAUUUACAAUUUAUAACGACAUUGCGUGAUUCGUCGAACGCACGAUAGAUGAUUACUUAAUUAUUUUAUUUUAUUUUUCUACUAAAAUAUACAAUUUUGACGGGCCGAGACUACUUAAUUUGUAUAUAUUUCAUAUAUAUUUCUUAACCAUCACUUUAAAUAUUUUUUAUAAUAUACAUUUCUUAAAUACAAUUAUAUAAUUUUUAUUUUAUAUUUAUUUCAUAUUUUGUUGACUUUCUUAGACCCGUGCGAGUCUCUUAAUUGGGUACAAAAUUAGAAAGUUAUGAAAAGUUAAGAGAUUUUUUCAUUUUGAUUUAUAUACAAAUGAGUCUUACUUAUUUAUAGUUAUUGUCCAAAAUUAUUAUUUAAAUAUUUAUUAAAAAAACAUGGGUUGGAAAGACAUGAAGAACAUACAUUGAUCUGACCUCUGUCAAAAGUUGUUAUUCUCACACUUUUCUUUCAUUCUCUCAAAUUUCAAUCAUUUUCUACUUUCCCUCCAUUUUCAUCUUCACCACUUUUACAACAACAAAAAUCUCAAAUCAAUUCAUUAAACAAACAAACGAAUUGAUUAUUUCUAUUGCUACAACUAUAAACCUUAAAAUCAAUGCAGCCCGAAGGAAACUUUAAUAAUGAUGGCGCGAGAAACAUAUUAUCAAAUUUGUAACCCGUGGUGUCAGAACAAUCCGGCAAAGGCUUACCCUAUACGUCGAAAAAAAAUCGAACGCCGCUGACAUUUGACAGUGGAAAAUAGACAAAAGAUGUUAGAUAAUUCGGUAAAGUUGAAAGGAUUCGAGUCUAAAUCGUGAUUGAUGUCACUUUUCGUAAAAGUAUUUCAAGCACUCUCUUUAUUGUCUUAGAGUUUAACGCAAGAAUUCUCAGGAUAAUUCAGCCUCGUAAUCGAAUCUGCACAAGACUGGUGAAGAUUGGAAUGCAGAGAAGUGUGUCUGGAAUUUAUGAGAAGAUGAUGCACGAUUUUGAUAUGUUGAUUUUUAAAUAUUGAACAAUGUAUUUAUAGGUCAUGCAUGUGUUAUUUCACAAGGUUGUAACUCUUGAUGAAACAACACCUUUUCAGCAUAGUUUGUAAUGGUUCGCUUAUGGAUACAUUAUGCACCACUUCAUAAAGUGUUGCAUGUUUUGAAUUCGAAGUUCAGACUUUAAGCAACGACUAAAACCAAGAGCAAUACUUAAAAUUAAGUCAUUGCAUGGCGGCUGCAGACCUCCGUCCUCCGGAGCAUCACUGGCGUUGCCGUAUAAUGCCGCGAGUAGCCCGAUUGCUCUGAUGCGUCGUGCCUAAGUGCUAAAGUUCCCCCUACAAUCCAUCACUAGAGGCUCUACACCCACGCCCUCGGACACGGUCCUGGAGCCAGAGCCGGUGUCACCGGUGGCAACAUCGGCGAGAGGUUGUUUGGAUGAGACAUGUGACAUAAUAUUUAGGACCAUUACAUUUGUUCAUGUGGCACUUUAUCCUCUUUAGCUCCAUUAUUGAGUUUAAUGUUUUUAAGUCUUUAUAAAUGCUUUUAAAGUGACCAUUUUUUAUGUGGGCCUAUUAGAAAUGCAUUUAUUGUCAUUAACUCAACUUCACACUUAUUGUCAUGUUGUAACACUCCUGUGGGAAUUAAUUAUCCAUAAUUUCCAACAAUCUCCCACUUGUUCUAAUGAUGACAAGACCAAUUCUAGAAAAGAUAAACAAAGAAUAUUAAUACAGUUAAGUAUCUUUCGAUUGGAACUUAACCUUAGUAUGGAUAACACAAAGUCUAAUCAGAAUGUUAGGUAGCAAUGCUUUGAACCGUUAUCCCUUGUGAUUAUACCGAAAUUACCUUACACACACUCUUUAAUGGUUCUUCGCCCGCACCUCUCGCCUAGCACUACUUAUGGCCAUGUGUUUUUCCUAUUUUCAUGAAUCUUUCAUGAGAGAAACUCCAACUUUCACUUUGAGAUGACACCAUCUCGAAAUUCAUAUAGGUGAAUUUCAUUUUGUAUUUAUUUAUUAAGAUAUAUAUCCUUGAUAAAGAAAUUCAUUAAGAUUUUGAAAAAUUCAACUCUCAAUAUGUAAUAAUCAACAUUGUCAUAAGAUGUUGCAUAAUCAACCAACUCAACGACUUGUUGUUACCCAUUGAAUCUUAGGUUAUGGUUUAUUAACUUCUGAUUGGAUUUCUACCAUUGUCGGAACUCUUAUUCUGGCACAUAAUUUAUCACGUAAAUUAAAUAUAAAAUAAAACAACGUAGGGUGUCACACAUUCAUAACACACAUGACCUGCUCCGUAAUACGGGUUUUAACAAUAAAUUUCAAUACACACAUUUGUAAUAAGGAUGUUUACACGAUAUCCCACUUAUCUGAAUCAUAGCUCGGAUGUUUACACGAUGUCCUUCUCAUCUUAUUGGUAUUAGAUAUUCACAAAAUAAGACAUUCAUAACUUGUCACUGUAUGCUCACUUCCAUUUUAAAGUAUCAUCGCAUCGGAAUUAUCAUCACAAUUAUGGAAGAUAAAGCAAGUAAUAACAUCUAGUCUCAACUUCAAUUGUAAUAAUAAAAUAAGAGGGUUCUAAUCAAUCAACUCAACAUCUUAAGAAUUCUCAACAACAAAAUUAGUCUUAUGACUUCAACAUAAUCAGACAUAAGGAAUAUAAUAAGUGUUUAACCUAACCCGAUGCUACCUUCCACUUACUUCAGCAAUACUACUCUUGAGUAUCUGCACGAUGCCCAUGUAAAGACAACAUUCAAGUAGAAGGGGUGAGAAUUCAUUUCAAUAAUAACGAUAUAGAAUGAAGAAUAGAUUACAACAUCUACACAAUCAUGCACAACAAUAUAUCACAUUCUUACAUCCAAAUCAUAAUCAACAUCAUACACGACAACAUCUCAAUUAUCAUCAAUGUCAUACAAAACCAUAUCUCAAUUAUCAUUAACAUCAUAUACAACAACAUCUCAUCCAACAAUACAUCAACAACAACCAAUACAAAUGCAACACUUAUGCAAUAUACUCAACACCGACUCGACAUGCACAUGGUAUCAAAUAUGAACACUCAGGUUUAUCUCACUCCAUGAUCCCCAUCAUAGGAUCGAUUCCCUCUUGGAACUGGAGCACACCAAAUCGCUACCAUCAUCAUAGGCAAUGCUCCACUAAUCCCCCAUAAUAGGAAUUAAUUACUCGCACUCGAUCCAUCACAACGGGAUCGAGGCUCACAAAAACUCGUUACCAUCAACAUAGGUAACACUUCACUAAUCCCUCAUAAUAAGAAUUAGCUACUCGCACCUGAUCCAUCACCAUAGAAUUGAGGUUCACCAAAAUUGGAGCGAAGCCUGUACACCAAGAUGCAUGACUCUCAAAUAACAUGCAUUAACACAACAAGGUUCACCUAAAGGAUCCCUACACACAUCUCAUAAUUUAUGCAUCGCAUCAUUCAUCAUGAAGUAACCAAUUCAUGUUUCCAUGUGAAUAAUAUUAACAAAAAACAAUAACUUGUUAACAUCUUAACAUCAUCGACAUAACAACAUAAUCAUCACACCACAAUAUUACAACAAUGCAACGAUUCAUCAACCAGACGUAUAAACCAAUACAUUUAUUAACAUACUAGGCAUAUGAAUAUUAUUAAAAUAUAUAAACAAUUACUACCAUGUUAUAGGUAUGAGCAUUAGCUUUCUAACGCUUCCAACGACAUCAAAAUCGGACUUACAAAUAAAAGUUAUGACCAAAAUCGUCGGGAUAUGUCAACAAUUCAUUAACCGUACGUAUGAACAAAACUUUCACCAACACAGUAGGCAUAAGAAUAAUACUUAAACAAUUCACUUAUCACCAUCAUGUUAUAUCUCUUAGAGUCAACUUUCUAAUGCUUUAAACCCUAACCCAAAAUGAUUCACGAGUUGAAAGUUAUAAUCAAAAUCGUGCACAAAGGUGUUACUAUAAAUUGUUGUUUUCUAAAAUUUCCAACACAAUUUUCAUCUUUUUCAACCCCAAAAACGUCCAUGAAAUAAUCACUAAAAUUAUUUUAUCCCUGAAACAAAAUUAUAGCACUCUACUUCAGAUAUCCAACGCUUCAAACGACACUCAAUUUGGACUUACGGACCAAAAGUUAUGGCCAAAAUAAUUUCGACCGAAAUACACACAAAAAAGGCUCACGCGCUUAGCGCGGUCGUGACGGACAGAAUGCAGAAUUUUCUACAUUUUUCAUUGUUGGAGGCCUUCCGGACCUCCGAUUUCAAUUCCGUAUAAAACCAAAUGCUCGGAAAAUUACAACUCAUGCAAUACUCUAAUUAUCUAAAGUUAAUUUACAGUUAUAACAUAAUUAAAUUAUUUAAUUACAGUUUUAAGAUUAUGCCUAAAACAUUCGAAAUUGCAACAAUGGUGGAUAUAUGUUCAAUCAUAAAAACAGAAAAAUACAUGCACAUAAGGGACACGAAAUUCAUCAUAUAAUAACCAUCAUAGCAUCCAAAUUCAAAAUUAUGAAUCAAAACACUCAACCCUAAGGAGGUUAAAGAUUCCUCCAUUCUACCCUUCUACCAUAUCCAUUACUAUCGGAACUAGUUCUCACCCUUACCUAACUUCCUUGCAAAAAUUCUAAAUUGAAACCUUCACUCUCUUCCCUUGAUCACUUUUCCUAUUUCCUCUUUACUCCUUUUUCUCAAAUGUCACGUACUGUGAAAAUCUCCCUAAAUCUAGGUUCCUCUUAACUUUUUAUUUUUAGGGUAAACUUUUCUAAAUCACCAACUUGACCCAAAUUUAAGUAUCUCAUAUUCCUUCCUCCCACUAACUUUCUCAAUUUCUCAUAUUUGGCCCAAUUAUUCUAUCUUCACUAAUUAAUAUAAUAAAAAUAAAUAAAAAAUUAUUUUUAAUUAUCAAAACAAUUCUAAAUUAUUCUACUUACUUCUAUCAUCCCUCUAUACCUUUAACUCAAGGAUACAUACUCCGUCAACACUCAGGCAUAAAAUAAAUCAUCAAAAUAUAUAUUUCAAACAAUUAAAAUAUAAUAAAAUAUCUAAUAAAAACGGGGUCUUACAGUCUUUACUAAGUCUUUGGUCAGUGGCUUAGUAAAUGGAUCAGCUAAAUUAUAGUUUGUUCAUAUAUAUGUCAGUGAAAGGAAUCCAUCCUUAAUUAAUUUUCUCACGAAAGAAUGUCUAAGACCUAUUUGCCUAGACUUUCCAUUAUAUACUUCACUGAACGCUCUUGCUAGGGUGGCUUAGCUAUCACAAUGUAUCAACACUUUUGAAACAUUGUCUUUAGCCAAUGAAACUUUCAACAGAAGGUCCCUUAACCAUUCAGCUUCUUGACCAUCGGAAGCAAGAGCCACAAACUCUAAUUCCAUAGUCGAAAGAGUAAUACAUGUUUGUUUCUUGCUCUUUCAAGAAAUCGCACCUCCAGCCAAUGUAAAUAUUCACCCUAUUGUAUAUUUAUGAUCUCUAACACUCGAUAUUUAACUCGCGUCGGUAUAUCUUUGUAGUAUGGCAGGAAACCUAACAUAAUAAAGGUCAAGAUUUUUAGUUUUUAAGAGGUAACCAAAAAUCCUAUUUAUGGCCUUCCAAUGUUCACCAUUUGGAUUUCUAGUAAAUCUACUCAUCUUACUAACUGCAAAUGUUAUGUCACGUCUGGUACAUUUCAUUAAAUACAUUAGACAUCCAAUUGCACUUGAUAUUCCAAUUGGGCCACAAUUCUUCCAUUGUUCUUUUGAAUUUUGACACUAGGAUCAAAUGGAGUGCUUACUUCCUUAAAGUGUAGGUGUUUGAACUUAUCCAACAUUUUCACAAUAUAAUGUGUUUGACUAAGUUCAUAACCCCCACUUAUUCGUUUUACUUUGAUCCCUAAAAUAGUGUGAACUAAUCCAAGAUCUUUCAUCUUGAAUGUGGAAGUUAGAAAUUAUUUUUGUUUCUAAAAUUCCAUUCAUCUCAUUGCUAAUGAUCAACAUAUCAUCAACAUAUAGACACAAAAAUAUUACAAUGUUUCCACGCACCUUUAUGUACAAACAUUUUCACAAGAAUUUGGAAUAAAUCCAUUUGAAAGUAUGAUAGAGUCAAACUUUUGAUGUCAUUGUUUUGGUGAUUGUUUUAAACCAUAUAAUGGUUUGACAAGUUUGAAUACCUUUUGUUCAUUUCUAGGAAGCACAUAACCUUCUGGUUGUUCCAUGUAGAUUUCCUCAUCGAGAUCUCCAUUUAAGAAUUUUGUUUUAACAUCCAUUUGAUGAAUAAUAAGGUCAUUCUGAUAAGCUAAUGCAAACAAUACUCUUAUUGUCGUCGUCCUUGUUACAGGUGCAUACGUGUCGAAAUAAUCAACAUCUUCCUUUUGUCUAAACAUUUUUGCUACUAAUCUAGACUUGUAGGUUUUUAAUGUACCAUCACUAUGAUAAUUUUUUCUAAACACCCAUUUACAUCCAAUGGGCCUUGAACCCUUUAGAUGAUCGACAAGUUCCAAAGUGUGAUUUGAUAUGAUCAAAUCCAUUUCGUCUUCGAUAACAUCUUUCUAAAAAGAAGAGUCCACUAAAGCCAUUGCUUCUUUAUAGGUUUUAGGGUCAUCUUCUAAUAGGAGAAUAAUAGGGAUCUUAUGAACAUCAUUCUUGCAAUUUCCUUCAACUAGAUAAAAGGAAAUGAGCUGAGAAUCGAUUUCAUUUGGUCCUAAAACUUUAGCUUUUCAGGUUCUUUUGCUUAUCCUAGGCUUAGGUUGUGUUUCAACAAUUCCCGAGAUAUUUUCGGGUUCUUCUUCAACAAUUCAUGGAGAGUCUUCAUCACGAGAUUCUUCAUUCAUGGGAAUCUCAUAUUCCUUAUCUUUCGUGAUAAGUUUUUCAAAAAACUCCACAUCUCAGGAUUUAAAAAUUACGUUAGACUCCAAACUUAAAAGUUGAUAUGCCUUGUUGUUGGAUGCAUAUCCUAUGAAAGCACAUUUGAUCCCUCGAGGACCCAAUUUAGUUAUUUUAGGAUUCAUAUUCUUAUUAUAUGUCACACACACCCACACUAUAAAAUAACUAAUAUUUGGUGAUCUACCUUUCCAUAUCUCAUAUGGAGAGAUACCAGUUAACUUUAAAGAAAUCCUAUUCAUUAUAUGACAUGUGGAUAGUAAUGCUUCACCCCACAAAUUAAAUGAAAAUUCAGAAUGCAUUAACAUAGCAUUUAUCAUUUUUUGAUAUGUUCGAUUCUUUCUCUCGGCUAGACCAUUUUAUUAUGGUAUACGAGGUGUGGAACAUUCAUGUAUAAUGUUUUAUUCUUCACAAUAUGCAUUAAAUUCCAUAGAAAAAAAUCACCACCCCUAUCACUUCUAAGGACUUUGAUACUUCUACUUAAUUGAUUUUCGACUCCCGCUUUACAGAUUUUAAAGGCAUUUAAAGCGUCAUAUUUAUGCUUUAGAAGGUAUACAUAUGUGAACCUAGAGCAAUCAUCAAUAAAGGUUAUGAAAUACCGGUUCCCCCCACGGAUUAGCAUGCCAUUAAAUUCACACAAACCAGAGUGCACCAUAUCAAGCGAAUUUGAUUUUCUUUCAACACUUUUGAAAGGUUUGUUGAUCUUUUUUUAUUUGACACAUAUUUCAUAUUUUUCGAAAUCAUGAAUAUUGCAUGAGAUCAAACCAGAUUUAAUUAGUUUGUUCAUAAUACUAAUAUCAAUAUGUGCUAAUCUAUAAUUCCAUAAAGAAGUAGAUUCAAGCAUAUAAGAAGAAUUAGAAAUUUCAUUAAUAAUAUUAUCGGUAGUACAAUGUUUGAUCAUUUCCUCAGCAAGAUAUCAUUUUCCUACAAAUACACCAUUACGGGUCAAUAUUAGUUUGCCUAAUUCAUAUACAAACUUAAUACCAGCUUUUUCCAACAAGUCCCCACUAACUAGGUUCUUACUCAUGUCGGGUACAUGGAGUACAUUGACAAGAGUAACUUUCUUUCCAGAAGUAAAAUUCAGUUCGACGGAUCCUUUUCCAACGACUCUAGAUCGUACUUCAUUUCCCAUAUGCACUUCUUGUCCAUCAUUUACUUCAGAAUAGUUUUUAAAUGCUGCUUUGUCAUAAGAAACAUGCACGAUAGCAUAUGUAUCAUACCACCAUCCUUGCAUUUUGCCUUUGAUUGCCAUAAUCUCGCUCUUCGUAGCAACUAUGUCGUCAUUUGCAUGAAUAACAUUAACUUCGUUUUUGAACUUGUUAUGCAUGCAAUCUAGAGUAUAAUGACCUGGUUUUCCGCACACAUAGUAGCCGUCUUUUGGUCCGCCGGAGUUCUUGAACUUGUUAUGUUCUUUCUUAGGGCCAAGAUGGUUCUUCAUGUCAUCAUGUUUCCUCUUUUCUUUUCCAAUCACAGCAUUGGCUUUAGAGUAUCCAGGAGACUCUAACGUUUCUCUAUCUUUCAUAUCCUCCUCGAUUCGAAUGUGUUUCUGAAGUUUCUCCAACGAGAAAUCCUCAUAAUUAUGCAACAAUUUCGUUAUGUAUCAUUUCCACGAAGAUGGAAACUUUGCAAUGAUUGCACCAACUUGGAAAGCUUUUGAAAUGCCUAUUCUUACAACUUUUAUUUUAUUCACGAGAACCUCUAACUUGUGUACUUGUGCAAGAAUAGGCUUGGAAUCUAUCAUUUUAAAAUCAAAGUAUUUAGAUAUUAAGACCUUUUUCGUACCUUCCUCUUCAGCCUUGAAUUUGAACUCAAGUGUUUUCCAUUUUCUGUUGCAGGCUGAGUAUCCGUAUAGAGGUCGUAAAGAACAUCAUAUAGCAUAUUCAGGAUAUGUGCACGUCAUAUCAAUUCAUCCUCUUUACGUUUCUUGCGCUCAUUCUUGAGUUCAUCAGAGUCAUCCUCGGUUGGUUCAGGAAUUAGUGUCAAGUUAGGAUCUAAGACAUAGUGAACCUUCAGAGCGGUCAGUAGGAAUGUCAUCUUGUUUUGUCAUCUGGUGAAAUUGAUUCCAUCAAAACGAUCCAAAUUGACAAGGUCCUGGUUCAUAACUUUGAUGCUUGAAACUACAACGAUUUUGAACGCAAAAAUACCCAGGAUAAUUCAGCCACGUAAUCGAAUAUGCACAAGAUUGGUGAAGAUUCGAAUGCAAGAAAGUGUAUCAGGAAUUAAUGAGAAGAGGACGCAUGAUUUUGAUAUGUUAAUUUUUGAAUACUGGGCAAUAUAUUUAUAGGUCAUGCAUGUGUUGUUUCACAAGGUUGCAACUUUUGAUCAAACAACACAUUUUCAGCAUAGGUUUGCAAUGAUUCGCCUAUAGAUACAUUAUGCACCAGUUCAUGAAGUGUUGCAUGUUUCAGAUUCACUACGCCAAAUAAGGGAAAAGAGGGCGCUUAUUUUGGCCUAUAACAGCGCUUUUAAGCGCCCUUUAAUCUGGCGCUGGCAUAGGUAAAGACAGCGCUUUGUUUUCCUGGAGAAAGCGCUGUCUAAAGUGGCCACAUUAUAGUGCGCUUUAAGACAAAAGCGCCCUCUGGAGUGGUCCAUAAAGGGACACCUUAGGAGGGCGCUUUCUGGAGAGCCCCUCUUAAAGUUGUCAAUGUAAAGUGUUUAGAGGCGCUUUCAGGAAAAGCGCCCUCUAAGUGUCAAUGUAAAGUGUUUAGAGGGCGCUUUCAGAAAAAGCGUCCUCUAAAGUUGUCAAUGUAAAGUGUUUAGGGGCGCUUUCAGGAAAAAGUGCCCUCUAAAGUUGUCAAUGUAAAGUGUUUAGAGGGCGCUUUCUGGACAAAGCGCCCUCUAAAGUUGUCAAUGUAAAGUGUUUAGAGGGCGCUUUCUGGACAAAGCGCCCUCUAAAGUGUUAGUUAUUUUAAAAAAAAUUGUUUGAAAAACAGUGGAUAUAUAUUUAAUUGUAACCUGUUCGCAUGCUGCAAAAGUGUAAAAUUCAUAUGAUUUCAUCCUUUAAUCCAAUGUUAUAACCAUUAAUCCAUUGAUAUAUACAACAUGAAUCCAUUUAAUAUCACACAUUAAUCCUCCAUAUAUACAACAUUAAAUAUAUGAUUCUUUGAUCAACAAUAUACAACAACAUAUUCUCAAAGUACUACAAUUAAGAGAAUAAAAACAUAGCAACCAACACCCAGUGACCACUGUAUCCAAAAGCUGUCUAGUAGUUCUAACCAAUACUAACAAAAACGCCCAUCCACCCAUGGUGGCAAACAUGUUAUGUAUAUCCAAAAGCUGUCUAGUAGUUCUAUCGCACAUCCAUACAAAUAAGGCUCAACCAAAACAACAGAUGAGCAAGCAUAAGUAGUGUCCCCUGCAAAAAGAAACGUCCAAUGCAAAAUAAAACACAGAACUGUCAAAGGCGAUUGAGCAACAAAUAGUAAACAAUGGCAUAAAGUUAAAUGACAUAGCUAAUAUUACCUGAAUUCCUGCAUGGCUGUUAAGGUAAAAUCAAAUUCCCUAGGGUGACAAAUGCUGGUGUCUACCACGGUUCCUUUGACAAUUUAGAACAACAAAAUCAGCAAAAGUGAUAAAUUCAAAUGAUAAUAUUACAGCUGCGUUGAGAAAUAUAUUGAAAAACCUGCAUAAUAUUUCCACUUCUAUCGGUCUCUUUGGGGUUGACAGGAAAGAGACGGUGUGAUGUCUCUUUUGGACCACUACAAAAGUAACUUUAGGUAGAUACCAUCUCUCUAUUGAGACAAAAGCCUGAUGAAAAAAAAUUAAAAUUAAACGCAGAGAAUUUAGUGGUGUAUUUUAUGAACGACAAAGUAACAAGAAAUAAACUUUGAGAAGUCCUAAAUUCUGCCUACAAUACAGUGCUGCAAAGUUGAUGCAACAAAAACAUAUAACAAUAUAUGGUAAGUACCUGUAUCUCCGACCAUAUUUUUUCUUUGCCAACCUUCAAGUCCGGACUUCUCCAAUUAUCACAUGUAACGGAUAUGUUGUCGAACAAGGAAACCAAUGUAACUUGCCAAACAUUGAACCCUUAUCUUUUGAAGAUAGAAUUGAUAUAUGUUUAGAUGGACAUGUUCCAUUGUCGUAGAGGGAUACUUUCAAAUAUCCAGCAUCAUCAUCUACGCGAGUGAGGCUUGACGACAAUAGAGCAUCUCCAUCUAACAAAUAUCCAGCAUCAUCAUUUUACCUGUAAAAAGAAAACAAUUAAAAUCAGAUGACAAAUGUAAAAGCAAUUAAAUCAUAAAAGUCAUUUUACCUGUAAUAAAGAAAACAAUUAAAUCAUUUGACCUGUACCUUUUUCACUAAGUUCUCUUUCUUUUCUUGGUUGGAUAUGUUCUACAUGUCUCUUAACAACACGGACGGUUGGAUUGAUCCAAAUCCCUCAUUAUGAUCAUUCUCAUAUAUGAAUCAUUUGAUAUAAUAUUCUCAUCUUGACCAUUUCUGGUAAACGAUUCAAUCUCAACAUCAAUAUCACCUUGAUCUCCAGUGUUUUCAUCAAUUACUUGUUGGAAAAAAGAACUAUAGACCUUUCGUACUUUUCGGAUCAUUGACAUAGAACACUUGUCUAGCUUGAGAGGCUAGAGUAAAAGACUCAUCUUUGUAUCCCACCCUAUUAAGAUCCACUUGCAAAUCCUGACUUAUCCAUUCGAAUGCCGUUAUUAUUUUCAACCACUUGCAACCAAAUAUAGGAAUCUGAAACUUCUCAUAAUCAAAACACCCAAAUGCGCUCGAUAACACCAAAAAUACGACAGAUUUGCAAAUUUGGGGGUUUAAGUCCUUACACUUGAUAUGUGCAUUGCUUCAGCUACCCGGUGACACCACUAUUCUGCAUAGUACUUUUAUCAUCUUGUUCUUUGGUAUAAAAUGUGUAUCCAUUAAUCGCGUAUGCGCUAUAAGAAAAAACAUGGAAACUUGGACCAUAUGCUAAGCACUCAACCUUUCUGUUAUUGAAGCGGGAUCUGAAUAAUACUUUGAAUAAAUAUGAUCCUUAAACCAAGGUAUAAAACAUCGAUUGUGCUCUCGUACUAUCCAAUUUUCAUUCUAUUUGGGAUUUAAACCUCAGAGAACAUCCUUGUGAAUUUCAACAUAGGCUCAACCUCAUUCUCAUUGUGCAGAACAUACAAAUGCACUUGAUCCGUUCGACCCUUGAUACUGCCACGAUUUUAUUUCCAAUUAGAUUUUUUCCUUCUUUCUUUUCGACAAGCUGAGACUUGGGGAGUCGAUGACUGAACAUUAGACAAUAUUCAGUACCAAAACUCAAUCGCUUCUUCAACAAUGUAUCUUUCAACCAUACAACCUUCUGGUCGACUUCGGUUCUUCACGUACCCUUUAAUAUUUUCAUAUAACGUUCAACAGGGUACAUCCAUCUCAUAUAAGCUGGUCCAUACAAUUGUGUCUCUUUCACAAGAUGAACACUAGAUGUAACCAUUAUGUAAAAAAAAUGAUGGAGGAAAACAUUUCAAGCUCACACAAGUAUAAGAUUUCUUUUUGCACAUUGUGAUCGCAGGAUUGAUCACCUUACUGCAAUUGACUUGAAGAAAGAACACAACUUAUUUAUAGAGUCUUACUUUUCUGGAAGAAUAGAACGUAUACCUAUUGGGAGAAAAUGUUCCAUUAUAACAUGGCAAUCAUGGUCUUUAAACUCUUUAACUUGAGGUCUUUCAUAGCACAAGUCUUCUAUAUCUGAAGAGUACCCUUCUGGAACUUAACUUCACUUAGAAACUUACACAUGUUUUUUUUCUCCUUUCUAGAUAGAGUAUAAGCAGCAGGCGGUAGAUAUGUUCGUUUUCCUUUCUUCAAGGGUCCUAAUUCAGUUCUUAUUCCCAUCGUUAUCAAGUCCUUUCUUGCCUUAAGGCCAUCCUUAGACAUUCCUUGUAUAUAUGAGUAACGUGCCAAUAACACUUUCAAAUACAUUUUUUUCAAUAUGCAUAACAUCAGAAAAUGUCUCACAUACAAGGACUUCCAAUACGCAAUUCAAAAAAAACUGACCUCUUUCUUCCACCCACUUUUGACAAGGUGUGGGCAAAAGGCUUGCCAAACUGAGUAUCCAAAUUCUUUCACCUUUUCAAAAAUUGAUCACCCGUCAAUAUAGGUGGAGCUCUGCCUUGUUCUGUCUCUCCACUUGAACGCCUUUCUCCAUCCACGGUAUGAUGAUUUGAAUUUAAGAAUCUCCGAUGACCGAGAAAGACAUUCUUCUGACCAAAACUCCAAGCGCUUCAAUCUGUUUUAUCUUCACAAAUAGGACACGCACAUUGACCUUUUAUGCUAUACCCUGAUAGAUUUCCGUAUGCUGGAAACAUUAAUUGUGCCAAACAACAUCGCCCUCAAGUUGAAACUUUCUUUCCUAUAUCCAUCAUAAACCUCCACAGCGUCUCCACAAAAUCUUUAAAUCUCGAUUAAGGCUUCAAGUACACGUCCUAUGUCAUUCCCUGGUUGUUUAGGUCCAGAAAUCAACAUAGACAACAUCAUGUACUUACGCUUCAUACAUAGCCAUGGAGGUAGGUUAUAAAUCAAUAAUCACAGGCCAUGUACUGUGUGAGAUACUCUGGAUACCGUGUGGGUUCAUUCCAUCAGUAGAUAAUGCCAAGCGAAGGUUUCUUGAUUCUUCUCCAAAUUCAGGAUAAUCAUUAUCAAUUUUCAAACCUGUGGUGAAUCUGCCGGAUGUCGUACUUUCCAUCUAUAAUUCUUUCAUCUGCAUGCCAGGUCAAGUGUCUUGAAUCGGUUUCACUACGAAAACAUGCGUCUAAACUCAGAAUAACAGGAAAAUACCACAGACCUUUGCUGGAGACAACUUGUUCUUAUAUCCGAGACACCGCAUUUAGGACACUCAUUUAACGAUGCAUACUCAUUUCGAAACAAACGCAAUCGUUUGGACAUGCAUGUAUCUUAUCAUAGCUCAUGCCAAUAGAGCACAACAUCUUUUUGGUUCAUAUGUUCGAUUGGGAAGAACAUUAUCCUCAGGAAGCAUAUCUUUCAAAAGGGCUAAUAACUCUGUGAAACUUUAUCCGACCACCCAUUGCCCGCCUUUAAGUUGUACAACUUUAAUACCGCAGACAAUCUUGUGAAUUUAGUGCAACCAUCAUACAAAGGUUUCUCUGCAUCACUUACCAACCUCUCAAACAUUUCGGGACAAUCCUUAAGAUCUCCUUCAAUGCUUCUGCAAUCUCUUCAACUCGAUCACAAUCGUAUUGUAUCUGCGCCACUAAGUUUGAGGCAUAGGUCGUACUAUCCCCCGUUAACAUUCUCGUUACUUUUCUCACCAUGGCAAAUUCCAACAUGUAUAACUUCGAUCAAUUCCAUGCCUCAUUAGAUGCGUGUCAACUGAACUGCGUCAACCCGUUUCCCAUAACAACAACCCAAGCAAGGACAUAUCAUUCUACUGGGUCUUCGGCGGUGCGCAACGGCAAACUUAACGAAUUCUGAUACCCCAUUCUCGUACUCUCUCGACAUCGAUUGGAAGACAUCCAUGUAUUAUCCAUUACUAAUUAGAAUAUAAAAAACAUUUCAGAAAGAGUUCAAACACAUUCGGACCUAGGUUUCUAAUGAUACUGGGUUGACACAAAAUCAGAUGUUUCAUAGGUUGUAUAACCCAUUGCAUCCGCAAUCAUGGUCACUAAAAACCAACCGUCAAUUUCCUAGUGCAUCCGCUAUCAUGGUCGAAACAAACGUAGAAGGAGGAAACGCGCAGUAUAAGGUAAAACAGAAAUUGGGCAAAGCUAAAACAAGCAAUAACAUAAACAGUAAUUGGAAAAGCGUGUACCUUUGAUUGGUAGAAGGAGGAAACGCGCAUGUAGAUCUAACAGAGGUGGAAGGAAAACGCCUCAGAACCCUAACGUGAAAAAGAACGCUAAUAACAGAUAGUGAAAUAACAAAAUGCGCGGUAUGUUAUAAUUUAAUGUUUACUAAAGGGGACAUUAGAGGGCGCUUGUGGAAAAAAAGCGCCCUCUAAAAGGGGCCUAAGAGGGCGCUUAUGAAAGCGCUCUCUAAGGCUUUCCAGAAGCGCUUUAUAAGCUGGAAAUGCACGUGGACUUAUAACAGCGCUUUAUUAAAAACGCCCUCUAAGGGUAACCUUAGAGGGCGCUUUCUAUAAAGCGCCAUGUAUUGUUGUCCCUCUAUCUCCUCCUUAUUUUUUCGUUUCACCUUAGAGGGCGCUUGUGGAAACAAAGCGCCCUCUAAAGGGGACCUAAGAGGGCGCUUAUGAAAGCGCUCUCUAAGGCUUUCCAGAAGCGUUCUAUAAGCUGGAAAUGCACAUGGACUUAAUAACAGCGCUUUCAUUAAAAAGCGCCCGUCUAAGGCCGUAAACCUUAGAGGGCGCUUUCUAAAAAGCGCCAUGUAUUGUUGUCCCUCUAUCUCCUCCUUAUUUUUUCGCUUCACCUUAGAGGGCGCUUUAUUACAAAAGCGCCCUCUAAAGUGAGUCGCUUCACUUUAGAGGGCGCUUUUGUAAUAAAGCGCCCUCUAAGGUGCGCUGUCUAAUCCAGUUUUUGGCGUAGUGAUUCAAAAUUCAGACUUGCAUCAUGCGUAAGUGCUCAAGUGCCCCCUACAAGCCGCCUCUACGCCCACGCCCCUGAACCCGGUCUCGGAGUCGGUGUCGGUGUUGACCAGCAAGGGGUUGUUUGGAUGAGACAUGUGGCGUAAUGUUUGGGACCAUCACAUUUGUCCAUAUGACACUUUAUCCUCUUUAGCUCCUUUGUUGAGUUUAAUAUUUUAAGUUUUUAUAAAUGCUUUUAAAAUAAGGAUGGCUUUUUAUGUAGGACUAUUGGCAAUACUUUUAUUGUCAUUAACUCAACUUCAUAAUUUCCAACAAGAGAAUCUCAUCUAACAGUAAAUUUCAGGAUCGGUACCUAUAUCUCCCUCGUCGUCUUGCUGCCCCUGCUGAUCGGAUUUCUUAUCGCGGUAGAUUCGAAAGCAAGCUUGAAACUCAACGCUACGUCAAAGAAUUCUUCCCUGACGCUAAUAUUGUUCAUUUCUUUGACUCCUUCAGCUGGAGAAUUCCGUCUGGUCUUCCUGGUCUGUCUCUUUGCUUUGUUCUGACUUUGCUUUUCUUCCUAAUGUUUCGUUAUUAGUCUUUUCUCAAUGCUAUUAAUUUUCUAUUUAUUAACAAGUUAUAGAUAGGGGCUUUUGAAUGUAUAAACUGUAAAAGCUCAUUUUAACUUGCGUUAGAUACUUGUUGUAAAGCUUUCCUGCAUGUUUAGAUAAUUAUAGUGACACAUAACAUACAAGCUUUUCUGCAUAGUAGGCCAUAUGAAUCCUGUGGCUGGUGGACUUCUUCAUCAGUUAGAAUUAAAAGUGCAGCCAGAAUCUGAUCCCGACAUUGGUGGAUGCAAAGCUGGGAGAUGUGCAGCAGUUUGAUUUUGGAUGAAGAAAAAGAAAAUUCACAUGUUGCACCGAUGCUAUCUGUUGCGGUAACGACAAUGUUGUGAUGGAUACUAUUGAUGACGAAGGUACUUUAAAGCAUUUAAAUGUUCAAAAAGGAACAAAAUCUUUUUGUUAUCAAUCCGAGUUAUCAAAACUUGAUGCUGAGUGUGAUAAGGCUAUGGAGGAUCUUGAAAAAUCACAGAAGUAUGAAUAUAAGGUGGCAGAGGAAAGCCUUCAUACACAUAAGAAAUAUUUACUAAAUAUUUCUCAACGACUCGACAAAGAGAAGUCUGAGUUAGCAGGGCAGUCCAGCACAUCUCGUUCAAACUUGUUUCAAACUAUAGAGAAAAGAAAUGAGCAGCUAAGGCGGGAAUUGAAGAAAUUUGAAGAAAUGAAGAAGGUAGCUAAUGGUUUUGGCAGCACAUCUAAAGUAAUUUUAGAACAGCACUUUGGCUUGUAAAUUGCAUUAUAAAAUUAUAGAGAUUACAGACAAGGGUUGAAUAAAAUGGCUAUGGGGCAUGGUAAUGGUUUUACUGCCAAAUAGUAAGUAUAAAUUAAUUCCUACAAAAACAGCCUGAAUAUAUUUAUUUGAAGUCUUUAUCUGAUAGCCUCUUAAAAAUAGCUAAAAUGAUACAUGUGGUCUUUUAUGUUAGUCCUAAAUUUUAGAUAGAUAUCCUUUCACCCCCAAAUUGGUCUUUAAAUCUCAAAAUGUGCAUGUUGUUGUCUGUUUUUUUUUUUUGUACUUCCUUUAAACUCUGUUAUAUUCUCAAUCUUCACAAGCUAUUAUUAAAACUGAAACUAUUAGAUAGGCAUGAAUGAAAGGGGGGUCACUAAAUGGCACAAAAUUAUCCCCAUGUUGCAAGGUUAAAGAGAGAACUAAACAAAUAUUUCACUCCGUAAGUAAUAUUUCAAAGUUCAUUAAUGUAUUUUUUUUUGAGUUAGGAGACUGUUUGGGUGGGUUCACUCCCUAAGUGGGACCCAAUGAUUAAAAGAAAAUUAAUUGCAUAUGUGUUAUGGUUUAAUUUGGCUAAAUCCACAUCAGCCUCGAGAAAAGGGAAACUAAAACUAAAAUAUAUAUAUUUUUAUUGUUGUUCAGCUCCUUCAAAAGAUUCAUUAACCAUACAGUUAAGCACGCAUAUAACGAAGCAGUAAUGUACUCGAUCUCACAAAAUGAAAGUGAAAUUAUCGGUUCCUUCUUCGAACACCAUGAGAUUGGUGUUUCACCGAGCAUAAAGAUGUAUCCAGUUGUAGACUUUUAAUCGUCUUUAUCUCUGGACUAAUUGAAAUCGAUAAAAUCGAGAAAAUUGCAUUUUAUACCCGUAUCUGCUGCCGGGAAGAUAAUUCUGCAGCCAAUUAAUCAUUUGAUGUAUCUUAGGAUCCUCUUGACUCCUGCCAAGUGAGACACCUUUGGUCUUCCCAUGAAUCUACCUACAAUACCGACACUAAAUACCAAGUAUGGAUGCGUAUUGCACAAAUAGCGCAAGGAUCUAACCAGCCUCCUAUACUGAGUUGGAUUAACAUCUUGCUCACCUUCAUUCUUCGAUAGUUGUAGCCUCGGCUCAGCCAGAAUAAUGGUAGUAUUACAAUGGUCCAUUUCAAACUUCUUCAAUAUCUCAAAUGCAUAACUUCUUUGGUGCAUGAGCAGUCCCCUUUUGGACUUGUAGAACUCAAUGCAAAGAAAGUAAGUCAUAAGGCAAAUGUCGGUAAUCUCAAAUUCUUUCAUAAGUUCACUUUUAAACUUAGAAAUACACUUUCUGUUACUGCUCGUUAUCAACAAAUUGUCUACAUAUAGACAAAGGAUAAUCAUUCCUUCACUUGUAUCCGUCUUCACAUACACGCCAUGCUCGGAUACACAUAUCUUGAAACCAACCUCCUUUAGGAAACCAUUUAUUCUCUUGUUACAAGCUCUUGGAGCUUGCUUCAAACUGUAUAACACUUUCUUCAACUUGUAGAAAUUUAGCUCUUGGUUUCUCAUAACAAAACUAGGGGCAUGUUCUAUAUACACCUCUUCUUCAAGUGGUUCGUUCAAAAAAACAUAUUUGACAUCCAUUUGGUAGAUAUGCCAAUUGUUGUUAUUCGCAAUACCGAAAACUAUCCUUAUGGUUUCAAUCCUAGCAAUCGGUGUGAAUACCUCUUCAAAGUCUAUGCCUUCUCUUUGUAAGAAUCCAUUUGCAAUUAAUACAACCUUAUGUUUGAUUACUCCAUCCUUAGGAUUUACCUUCACUUUGAACACCCAUCUCACUCCAAUUGUCUUCUUCUUGUCCGAUAGAUCAACCAACUGCUAAGUAUUGUUCUUCUAAAUAGAUUGUAACUUCUCCUUCAUAGCUCAAAUCCAUUUUGGAUCACUUAAAUCCUCUUCCAUUUUAACAGGUUCAGAUUCGGCCAUAAGUGCAAAAUGGACCAAAUCACCAUCAUCAUUGGCUCCGUUGUCUCAGAACAACUCACAGUCUUGGAGUCUUUGAGGAAAACCCCUUUGCCUUGUUGAUCUUCUCACAUUUCCUUUAAUUUGGGCUUUGGUAGCGGCCUUUUCUGCAUUUCCCGUAUCUACAGAAUCUGAACUUUCAAAGUUGUAACCGAUUACAGCUUUUACGUAACUAGUUACAGGUUGCUGCAACUCCUUGAUUUCAUCGACAAUGACGUCUCGGCUGAUCAUAACCCUCCUGUUUACUACAUCAAACAACUUGUAACCACCGAUAGAGAGAUGCCCUACAAGUAUCAUUAACUCUCCGUUAUCAUCCAGGUUCUUUCUAAGCUGCCCUAGAACACGUCGAUACGCUAUGGAACCAAAAGUUCUCAAAUGGUUCAGAUUCUGUUUGAUUCCUGACCAUGCUUCCUCCGAUAUUGCCUUCUCAAGCUUUUAAAUUUGUUGGACAUGUAUUCAACAAAUAGACAGUUGUUGAAUAGCUUCUUCCCAUAACUCUUUUGGCAAGUUCUUCCCCUUUAACAUGUUUCUCACCAUGUUCAGUCAUUUAUUCCUUUCAGCAAUACCAUUUUGUUGCGGUGUAUAAGGAGGUACAACUUCAUGUACAAUACCUUCUUGAUCAACAAACCUCUCAAAGUCUUUUGAGACAUAUUCGCCUCCACCAUCUAUUUUGAGCACUUUGAACUUAUGAUCCUUUUGCCUCUUAACCAUGGAUUUGAACUUCUUAAACACUUCAAAUACCUCAUCUUUUCUCUUUAUUAGGAAUGUCUAUAGCUUUAUACUAUGAUCAUCGAUGAAUAUGACAAAAUAUUUAUUGCCACCAAUGAAAUUUACUUGCAUCAGUCCACACACACCUGAAUACACCACCUCAAGGUGAUUCUUGGUUCUACAACAUGCACCCUUUUCUAAAUUUACCCUUAUGUAGCUCCUCUUUCACACAUUCUUCAUAAAUUUUAGUCGGCAUGCUGCUCAAGGGCAAUCUCGUUACCAUUAUGUUCUUUUGCAAGUCUUUGAGAUCUCGGAAAUUGAGAUGCCCAAUAUGAUAGUUCCACAUCCAUUCUUCUCGACUUACCUCUGUAGCAAGAGAUCUAUUCUCCAUAACCUUCACCUCAAUCUUGAAAGUUCUAUUGGCAUCCAUAAGAGCUUUAAGGACCAAAACCCUUUUUGCAACCAUAAUGUGUUGCCCCUUGUUUUCCAUGUGAAUCUUGUAACCCUUAUCAAGCAAUUGUACAAUAAUUUGAAGGUUACAUUUGAUUCCAGUAAUGUAUAAUACAUCUUUGAUAAAGGAAUUUCCAUCAUCCCUACUCAUGAUCAAAACAUCAUUGAUCCCAUCGACCGCUAUAAUGGUGUCAUCCGCGAACUUCACUUUGUUCUUCAUGGAACGAUUGAUUUUAACGAACCAAUCCUUCCUCCCCCUCAUAUGAUAUAAACACACGGAUCCAAAUACAAUUAUUGACUCAUUCUCUCACAGGCACCAUGACAUUUUCUUUUGCAUGUAAUCAGUUACAUCUUUCACGUAACCGGUUACAACCCGUUUUUGCAGCAUUCCCAGAAUUGUUGUUGCCUCGUAGCAUACUGUUGUUGCAUUCACCUUAUGUGAUAAUGAAUAAGAGUAUAUUCUCUUUAUCAAACUCUUGUCUUGCAACCUUGGCUUCAUCUCCUUGAGGUUCCUUCUUGUUCACAUUUCACUCUCUUACAAAAUGACCGAACUUUUGACACUUAAAGCACUGCUUAUUUGCUUUUGUCAAACCUCUUCUUUUCACCUUUAAAGUUUCCUUGACCACCAUUUUGUUAAAACUUAUCUCAAACCUUUGACAAGUCAAAUUCUUGAAACUUUGGGACUCUCUUCCACCAAAAAUUCCGAAAACUCCCUUUACUCUUCAUGGACCAUUUUUCUUUCGAUCUCUUAUCCUUCUCAUUGAAGCAAUCUUGCAAAGAGAUCUUCGCCUUAGUCUUAUCAUUAUUUCUAUCCUCAUUACUUUGCUCAUUAGCCUCAAGAGAUCUUUGUAACUCCUAUUUGCUAAUUUUUGCAAGAUCCUACGAUUCCUCAAUCACUACAACCAUGUUUUCAAAUCUUGGCAUUAAAGAACACAAGAUUUUCGCGACAACAUAUUGCUUCGUGACUGCUUCUCCACAUGCCUUCACUUGAUUCAUUAAUCGAGUAAUUCUUGUUGUGAAAUCGUUCUUUGUCUCUUUUUCUUCCAUUUGAAUCAAUUCAAGUUAACACUUGUAAGUUUGUAACUUCACCACCCUUCGUCUUGUCAGCCCAUGUGUAUGUCUUCUCUAAGACUUCCCACGCUUUCUUCAAUAAUUCGCAAUCAUCAACUUUCUUAAAUUUGUCACCAUUCGCACAUUGAUGGAUCAACAAUAGCGCCUUGAAAUCAUUCUUCUUAUCUUCUUUAUGCAUUGCUCUUUGUGCAUCUGUUGCACCUUCGACAAAGGGAUUCAUCCCGUUCUUGAUCACUUAAAAAAAAUCUUUGUAGCCAAAUAACACUUUCAUUUGUUUAUAAUAUUUGUCAUAAUUCUUCGCAUCAAGGAUAGGUAGGUUUGCAGAGAUUCUUUCAUUGGAAACAAAAAUCAUGUUACACACUAGAUAUUUGUGGAUUAGAACCAAACUCUUGAUGUCAAAUGUUAGAACUUGGAAUCACAAGAUUGGUGAAUAAUGGAGAAAAUUAGAGUAUGGAUAAGGAAAGAGGAAUAUAUAUAUAUAUAUAUAUUAUAGUAUAUAUAUAUCUAACGAAUAUAUAUAUAUUAAAUUAAAUAUAUUAUAUAUAAUAUAUAUUUUAUAUAUUAAUUAUAUAUAACAAUAAAUAUAUAAUAUAUUAUAUAUAUAUAUAUAUAUAUAUAAUAAUAUAUAUAUAUAUAUUAAUAUAUAUAUAUUUAUAUAUAUAUAUAUAAUAUAUAUAUAUAUAUAUUUAUAUAAUAUAUAUAUAUCUAUAUAUAUAAUAUAUAUAAUAUAUAUAUAUAUAUAUAUUAUAUAUAUAUAUAUAUAUAUAUAUAUAUAUAUAUAUAAAAUAAAUAAAUAAUAGAUAUAUUUAUUGGUGUAAGCCCUAGAGGCCAAUACUUUUGGUACUUGUAUCGAAUUAUUUAUUAAUACUAAAAGGCUUUCUUUAUUAUGUUGUUUAAUAAAGUCCCUAGAAUAGAUAGUCUGUUUAAUGUAUCAAGUGUGACUUAAUCAUGAGUCACAUUAAACAUAAGACAUUAUUCUUAAAGUAUCUGUAGUCGAGCUUUUAUUGUGAAGUGGGAUAACAUUAAGAAUUAAGACUAUUAUGUAUAUAGACUGAUGAUCACAUCUCAUGGAUCAUGGAUAAGGAGUUAUCAAGUCUUAAACAUAGGUAUGAAUAUUAAGAGUAAAUUUAUACUGGAUUGACCCGCUAUGAGAAUACUAUAUAGAAUGUUAUGCAAAGUGUCAUAAGUUAUUCUCAUGGUGAUAAUGGUGUAUACCACCCUUCGACUGAACCACUAUGGACCCUAGAUGUAGAGCCGAGUGCUUUAUUGCUGAUCAAACUUUGUCCGUAAUUGGAUGACCAUAAAGACAAUUGAUGGGUACUCCACGAAGCAUGCUAAGGGACAUGAGUGACCUAGAUGGAAUUUUCCCAUCCUGCGUACAGGAUAAAUGUCUUGGGACCAAUAUUGAACUGGACAAGGAUGACACGGUCUAUGCUUAUGUUCAAUAUAGACAUAAGGGCAAAAGGGUAAUUUACACAUAAGUAUUAUCACAGAAGGAUUUUCCAGAUCACAUGACAUUUUCGUGUUUGGGUGCAGUGAUGUGUUGCUAGAUACCGCUCACUAUUUAUUUAUGUUAAAUACGUGAUUUAUAUAUAUUGGCAAUGCCAGCGAAAACCUACAGGUCACACACAAAAAGGACAGAUUGAUGAGAGAUAAAGUAACUAAGGAAUACCGUAAUGUACGGUGCACUUAAGUGAAUUGUAGAACAUCGUAAGGUACGAUGUACUUAAGUAGAAUACGAAAUAUGGUAAGGUACCAGCGCUUAAUGAUAUUGGCAUAUUAUAAGAUAUGAGCCACAUACACUUGAGUGGGCUUUUUAGCUUACAGCCACACAAGUGGUUCUAUAAAUAGAACCCUUGUGUAGAAGUUUGCAGUUGCAAUUUCGUUUCUCUCUCUCUCUCUCUCUCUCCUCUCUCCUCGUCUCUCUCUCUCUCUCUCUCCUCUCUCCUUCUCUCUCACACACCAAGACACACGACACACAAUACCACGCACACACUCAAAGCCUUCAUUCGUAGCAGCUAGCACUGAGAUUGAAGGAAUCCGUUCGUGUGGACUGAGUAGAGGCGUUAUCAUCGUUCAACGUUCAUGAUCGCUUCGUAGAUCUGCAUCAAAGGUUACAAUCGCCACAAGAGGUAACGAUUCUAUCACUAAUCAUGCCCAUUCGUAAAGAUCAUUAAAGGAGAAAUUUUAAAUUCCGCUGCAUUUUGGAUCGCCCUUCUCCUUCAGUGGUAUCAGAGCCACUUACGAAACCAUGCAUAUGAUAGUUGUUUAUUUUCUGUAUUAAUACGAUUAAAAGACAGAAUGAAUCAAAGAAUAAAUGAGUAAUAAAAUUGAGAUUGAUCAAGUUAUAUAUAUGAUAUAAGUAAUCCUGAUGCAAAAUACGGUAUAUAUGAUAUAUUGUUUCUGUUUCAUUCAUUCAAACACUUAAUGGUUGUUUUCCUUUGAGCGAUCAAUGGUCGUUUGCUUCUUGAUCCGACAUUAGUAUGGUGAAGCAAUGACGUAUGAUCAAUCAUACUGAAUCAACAAUCGAGAUGUGUUUGACGGUCUGAAAUUGGUGCAUUAGGGUUAAUGACGGCACAAGGGUUGUGUUGUCAAAGAGUUAUGCGAUUAGGGUUGUGACUGCGCAAGAGUUGUGCUUUAAAGUAUCAAGUUUUGAUGUGAAAAACGAAGUCGAUUUCAAAUGAAUUGUUCAUUAAAAUUUUCGGCCAAGGACGCUGCCCCUAAACCCCGCAAGGGGCGCUGCUCCUUGACCCCCGUUCGCUGAUCGGUCAGCGGAACCACCAUCCGCUGACCGGGCAGCGGACCCCCGGCUAACUCUGUGUAGUGUGAUUGGUUGCCGAAAUUUAAUUUGGUUUUAAUUAAUUAAAACAAUUAAAAUUAAUAAUAAUAAUGUGUUUAUUAUUAUUGUCUUGGGGUGAUCGGUUAUGACCUUAGUUUUCCUUUAUUUUGUUUUGGGUUUUAAAAUAUGACAUGCGUGUCGUGUCUCUCUUUUAAUCUCUUAAUGUAACUUCUUUUCUCAUCUCACUCCCUCGUAUGUAAAACGAGUUUCUUUUAUGUAAUGUAAUGUUAUGAAGAAAGAGAAGAAUUCAAUAUCAAAGACUCGUAUGUAAAACGAGUUUCUUUUAUGUAAUGUAAUGUUAUGAAGAAAGAGAAGAAUUCAAUAUCAAAGGAGGACAACCUUGAAGAUCUUGCUUGGAGAAACUUAGAUCGUUAUUAGGUUAGCUUAAGUUCUCUCAUUGGCUUGGGAGAACAAUUGCGCUAGGGGCCAUAACUGUUUCAUUAUGUAUGUAUGUUGAUGCAUGUGAAUGUAUGUUGAUGCAUAUGAGAUACUAUUUAUAUGAUAAAUAAGCCGGUGAGAUCAGAAUAAUUGCAAAUUCCCUCAAAUUAAAUAUUAAGUUUAUGCUUUCCAAGUUUUAGCACUCAUCAAGACUAGUAUCGAUUAAUGUAGGUUUCGCCUACGCGAGGUGCAUGUUCUAUAUUAGUAAGGUGCGAUGGGAUAAUUGUAAUAUUCAAUUGUUAAAACAAUGGGUCAAACUUAACUAAACAGAUUAUAAUAAGAUUAUAUAUGUUUAGAAGCAAUAGUUGGAAACGAUCCAUGUGAUGGAUUGGAAUAAGGAGUUAUUCACCCAACUAAAAUAUUCGAGAGUUGUAUUAGAUACAAUUGGAACCUCAAGGAUGGAUUUAUUGGAUCAAAACACAUUAGGCGGAUGCACGACUUAAAACAAAGUGAAAUAUGGAUCUCGACCCACUAGAAAAUCUUCCAACGGGAUUUUCUGAAUCAAAUGGUGAGACAAGCAUUACACACUGAUUGUGACACAAUUUACAUAAGUCGAAUAACUGAAAAACUGAAAACUCUUACUUGUAACCAGUUACACUAAACAUAUAACCAGUUACAACUGAUACAAAAUUAAUUCCCUUUCAUUGGUAACCAGUUACGUGAUUACUUUAACCAGUUACACCCAUAAUAUUUUCCCUAUUUCUUCAGGUCAAAAGUGACUUUUGCCUUGCUGUAAUCGUUUACACCCCCGUGUGAACCGGUUACAACACUAAAUUAUCAAAAUACUCUUAACAAUCUUAACCAUUUAAUUUAUUGAAUUUGGAUCUUCUCCAUCUAUAUUUUUCUCGAUCCCCCUCAAUCUUACAUGUUAACGAUUUAAUUUAUCCAAUGGUAAAAUAAAAAAGUGCACAUGCUAAGAAAAAUAUAUUGAAACAAAAUAUUUUAAAAAAAGAAAAAAAUAUCUUUAUAUAUAAAACAUCGUAAGAAAUGAAGACAACAAUUAUUUCCCAAAGUGAGACAACGAGUCGUUAUUUUUCUAAAAAAUUUUCUAGUGGAAGAGAACCCACUAAGGAGGAAGUUAGGGAACAUCUCCUUUUUAGGAAUAAAAAUCCAACUUCUGAUCGAUGUUCUAUUUUAUGUGACAACCGGGAUAACAUGGUAAAACAGGGAUGACCUGUCUUAGUUCAACCUCCUGAUUUUUGAACUUUACCCUUGGGUUGAUCCUGAGAUAGUGUGGACUAUCUCCACAUAUGGCCAUUCAAAGAAAGUGGAAGAUGAUUGCAUAGAUGUGUGUUCAUCUUCUGAUUGGACGAUUUCCCACAUUGGUGAGGGAAAUUGAAUCUGCAGUCACUAUGAAAGGUGUGCUAUCCAUUUAUCUCUUUCGAGGAGGGCUUGCUAAAUCACCUAGCCUCAUCUCCCUUCCAAAUUCUUUUAUCCUCCUGGGCGCUUGCAGAAGUGUUUCGAUAUUGAUGUGAUUAUCGAAGGGUUGGGCCAUCUAUUCGACUCUUCUUUAACUUUUUUCUCAUAUCCCGAACUUCGAAGGAUUUUUUCCGUGGUCAGGGAAUCAUUUCUAUAUGCCAUUCGAACCGGGUGUUCGACGUAUACAUGGAAGUUGGAAGAACUUCAAGGACCAUUAUAAUUUGGUAACUCCUCUGAGUCUGAGGACUCAUUCGGUAUUCUGUAAGGUUAGCUAGGAGGUGCUAGACCCUCUUCCUUUUCCUCUCAACGUCAAGAAAAAUUUAGGAAGUAUUGGUCUUGGGACCAUUUCAAACGAGAAUCCCUCAAGUAUUCUUUAGGUGAUGAUAAGCUUACCCCAUACUAGGAGUUGUUGAAGAAGGAUCUGGUGUCCUUUUGGGAACAACUAGGCUAUGAGGAGAGGAAAAGUCCUCAAGAAGUAGGGUCUAUGAAGCAGUAAAUGUGAGCUAUUAAUUUUAGUUUUAUCUUUGAUGCUUUUAGCUAGUGUUGAGGAGAUGAGAGGAAUUUUUGGUGAGGAGAGUUUUUUUAUGACAAAAUGUAUCUCCUUGUUUGCAGAUUCAAUGGCAUCUAUCAGGAUCCUUUAAGAUAGGAGGAAGAAUAUGAAAUAUAUGAAAGCUUAUGUAGUGUUAUAUUUGUGGAAUUCCUAAACCAAGGUGCCCUUGCCUAAGAGCCGUGUCGCCUGGGCGACAACCUGAAGAUUCGUCUAGAAGUAACCCUAACGUGUGAGUCUAGGGAUUCGCUUUAGCAUGCAUAAUUGAAUUGUUUGUAUUUGAGUAUAAUCAUUAUGCUUUUAGUCAACUUAUUGAGUUAAUGGAACAAAAAUCAUAUUUAAAGUUGGUUCAAGUUAUGUGUGAAGUGAAAUCUUAAAUUAUUUUGAAAAACUUGAAAAAUUGAGAUUUUGUGUGUAUGACUUGAGUCAAUCACAUUCCAUGACUCGAAUCAAAUCAAACAGAGGAGAACAUAUAGUUUUUGGUAUCUGUGAUUUGAAUCACAACUUACACCUGAUUUGAAUCAUGCAACAUCGUAACUUGAACCGCAAGUUGCACUUACUCGAAUCACACACCUUGUGUUUUCCAUUGCCUAAUUUAAAUCGAAUCACACUUUCAACUAAUUUAAAUCACAAUACUUUCCAAAUUUUUCCUAUUUGAUCUGUCCAGUUUGACUCGAAUGAAGCUUUGUACAUGACCUGAAUCAUGAGCUUUCACGACUUGAAUAAAGCUUACAACUCACUCGAAUCAUAGGAAAAUGAGAUGCUUUAAUUUAUGAGAUCCUGUUUCACUCUACUUACUCACUUAACUCAAAUCAUGAAAUGUUCUUGACUUGAAUCUAACAACCCAUUUUCACCUAUUUUAUGCAUAGUCUCCAGCAUAUAUAAAUUCAUUUUUUCAUCUUAUUUUCAAAAAUAAAUUUCAUAAUCUACAUUAUGAUUUUGCGAAAUCAACAACCCCAUCAUUUUGAAAACUUAAAGACUCUUGCAAAUAAAAAAUUAUUUCACCUUCAACCUCUAGUUUUGAUUUCAGAUCUUGAUCAUGAGACACUUGUAAUAAUUGAGGGAGACAUUGUCUUGAAAUUAAUCGGUCUUAAAGGUUUGGUAAAUAUUUUCAAUAAGCUUGCAAGAUUGUGGUUGUUGUCAUUGGUAGUGACAAAUUCCAGUAAAAAGAAUGAGGUUCUUCUCUCCAGGUUGACCUUAACAAUGACUGUAUGAAAGGCUACAAACAAGGUGGAGAUCUUCUCAAUCUUCAUACAGUACAUCCCUCAAGAAAUUGGUGGGAUUAGGGGUGGUUUCCACAUACGAAGAUUUUGAGCAUAUUGGUGAAGCUGGAAGAUUCAAGAAGCGAGAAUCAAGUAAAGAUUUCGCAUAUGAGUUUGGCAUUAAGCUAUAUACAAGUCAAGAUCCAAAUAAGAGACUUAUUUUUCUCAGCAUUAUUAUGGAUUGAUGAUUGUAUGAACUCGUUUAAUAUUUGUUAAAACUUAGUGGAAUAAAACAACUUCCAAUGGGAAACUAUUGAAGAAUGCAAUAGGCUCCUGCGUGGACGAUAGAGUCGAACAAUUAUACAACCCAAUGUACUCUCUCUCUCUCUCUCUUAUUUAAUUUUUGCAGGCUAUUGCAUGUGUAGGUUCUUUUCUUAGCAUAGUUUAUCGUUAAUUCCUGUUGCAAGUGAUUUAUUAUGUAAGUGUAGAUUUUGUUGGAACUGGAGCCUAAUUUAGUUUUAUUGGUGAUUUAAAUUUGCAGAGUAAUGAUGUUAGAAUCCUAAAAUAAUUGAAUUUUUGUAAAGGACGCAUUUUGUGUAGUUUACAAUUUAUUAAUUCAAUAUAGCUAACAACUUUUCGUGUAUGCUCCUUGAACGAUCUGUGGUAUUUGUGAAUUGUGUAUUUGUAAUUGUGAUUGAUUUCUAAUACAAGCAUAAGCUCUCUAUUUUGUCUUUAAGAUUUCAGUGCGUUUGAACAACUCUGAUAUCUCACUUUUAGUAUCGGUCAAAUUUUUGAAAAUGGUAUAUUCACCUCUCGCCCUCUAGAUCAUUUCUCUACUCCAUAUUACUACCCAAAAAGUGAUACAUAUUCUGUAUACCCUAUAGAGUACAACACUCAUUUUAGUUUUAACACAUGACUGCCUCUAAUCAUAAGCUUUCUACCAAGCAUUACCGGUCACCAGCAGUUUAUGUCACCUCACGUGAGCAGGUCUCUAAAACUACCUCAAAACACCAUUGUACAGGGCUUCUCGCCCCCAUAGGCAAACCCUAACCAACAUAUCAUGUUACAAACUUACUAAGGCCUGUAAGUCUCCAUUCCCUUGUAGGGGGAACUUGCACCCAUGUACUUUUUGACCAUUACAUUGACUCCCGUCGAGGGGCCUCAAUAAAACUAACCCAGGCCACACCCGUUUUUUCAUCACCAUCACCUUUUCCAUUGUUACCCUUCACUACUACAUUUAGACACCUUCAACUAUGGUUAAUAGGAAGCUUCAUCCCUUACACUAGAAGGCACCAACAGUAUAGAUGAGGCCAACGCCUUGGCAAAGAUGUGUGUCGUCAUGGACGAACUACAAUGUCAUAACCAAACAUUGGAAAAUGACGUCCAUAAUAUCAGAUAAUGCCAAUAAGAUUCCGACCCAGCAGAGGAAAAUAAUUGUUGGACCCCUAACCACUCUUAGACGAAAUAUGGGGGGCGCCAAUCCCAGAGGGUUUCAAACCUCCAUUCUUGGUCAACUUUGAUGGGCGCAACUAUCUCUACGAACAUGUUGCCUCGAUCAAUACAUAAAUGGUCAUCAUAUGAUCGCAAUAAUCCCUACGAGCAUGUUUUAGAAAUCUCAUACCUUUGUAUUACACUUUCAUGUCAAAAAUGAUAAACUAAAAUUCCAAGGCUAACAUAUAGGAUUACAUAUUUUUGCUUGAAAAAAGUUUACAAAUAAUUCUUUAAUAAAAGUUUUAAAUAAAAAUUUGGUUUGAAUAGUUAUUCUUAAAAUGUUAUUUUAGGUAUUUCAUCAUUUAUUAUAAAAAAAUUUUAAUAUCAAAUUUUCAAAAAAUCACUUAAUCUUGAAGCUAUUUCAAAUAGUUUUUCUUAAAAAUCAUUUUUUGAGCUACAUUUUUUUUGAGAAAAUUGCGAUUUGGCUAUAUUUAAAUUUUUAAUAAUGUAUCUUUAUGUUAUAGGAUGUCAAAGUUAAUUAUUCAAUUUAUAAAAAAUGAAUUUAAAAAUAUAAACAUCUCUAUAAAAAUAUUUUUUUAAAUACAAAGAAUUUUUUUUAAUUUUUAAAGCUAAAAAAAACAUACUAUAUUAAACUUGAUGUCAUUGAUUUUUGUCAAUGAGUUCCACAGAAAUGCGAAGGUGCCUAAGGCGGUCCCGACUUCUUUUCUAGAAUUGGUUCCUAAAUUAACAAUCCCCUAUACCUAUUUAAAUAUAGGCAUAUUUGCUUGGUAAGUAGUCUAUAUAGAAUUCUUUCUAAACUAUUGGCUUUAAGACUUAAGAAAGGUAUGGAUAACUUAAUUUCUAAGUGUCAAUCAACCUUCUUAACUCAUAGACAAAUUCAUGGCGGAGUAUUGAUAGUGAAUGAAGUGGCGGACUAUGCAAGAAGAUAUAAAAAUGAGUGUUUGUUAGUGAAAGUGGACUUUCAAAAAGUUCAUGAUUGUGUUCAUUAGGGUUACCUUAGAUAUGUUAUGUAUAUGAUGAGGUUUGGCUCUAAAUGGAUGCUCCAGAUGGAAGCUUUGGUUUUCAAUAGUUCAAUGUCCAUUUUAGUAAAGGCAACCCUACUGAUGAUUUCCAAGUGAGGAGAAGUCUUAGGAAAGGGGAUCCAUUAUCCCAUUUUCUUUUCCUUUUUAGCAGCAGAAGGAUUGACAAGUUUGAUUCAUAAUCUUUCUAGGUUGAAAGAGUUUCAGGGAUUUCAAGUUAAUGAUUGCAGAUGAUACAAUAGUUAUUUGUGAUAGGUCUUAGAGUAACUUGUGAUUCUCAAAGUCAUUUUAAGAGGAUUUGAAUUGACUUCUGAUUUUGGUUUAUGUGUGAAUUUAUCGAAAAGCAAAGUGAUAGGUAUCAAUUUGAAAGAUGAGUUUAUCCUAGCAAUCUCAACCUUUCUUUCUUGUAAAAUUGGUUAUUUACCUUUCGGUUUUCUAGGGGUUAAUGCGGGACCUAACUCUAGAAGAAAAUAGAGAGUUGGAAGGCUAUUAUAAUCAAGUUUCAAAAAAGACUAUCUCCAAGAGGGGUAUAGAUAUGUCUAUGGGAGGAAGAAUGAUGAUGUUAAAUGCGGUUUUGUCCAAUCUUCCUCUAUAUUCUUUUUCUUUUUAUAAAGUUCCGAAGGUGAUAAUAAAAGAAAUGAUUAGAAUGCAAAGAGAUUUUUUGUGGGGAGGUGUAGAAGGAAGGAAGAAAAAUAGUUGGAUUAAUUGGGAUAACAUUUGUAUUUGUAAAUCAAAGAAGGAGGGGUUGGGCGUAAAGCAUUGCGGAGAAUUCAAUUUAGCUUUGCUUAAUAUAUGGUUGUCGGGAGUUCUGUCAGAUGAUAAACCAAUUCGACAAGAUUUUUAUUUUCAGGUAUGGAGAUGUGAGAAGGAAAGUUCUAGACCAAUCUUCUAUCUCCAUUGACAAGAGGGAUUUCAUAUAGUGGCGAGAUUUAUUGUCAAUUAGUAAGAUUUGUCAAAAGGAUUUAUGUUGGUUCUCUGAUGCAAUCAAUUGCAAAGUAGGGAAUGGCCGAAGUAUUGGAUUCUGGAAUUCUAAAUGGCAAGGGACAACUCCUUUAAAAUCUCAAUUUUCUUAUCUGUUUGAUUUUUUUUUGUGCAAUUCUGAAGCUUCAGUAGUCAAUAUGGAGUUAGGGAUGCUCAUAGACGGUUAAUUUAUAUGUUAUAACCGGCUAUUAAAUCCAAAUAUCUGGAUUUUAUUUUUGUAAAAUUGUUAUAAACAAAUUAUUAACGGGUAUAUUCAUAACCAAUUUUAUAAUUAAUUUUGAUUUAAUUUUUUAAAAAACAAUUGCAAGAAUUUUUUAUUUUAAGAAAAAAUAUUUAUUUUUAAGAAAACAAAAUCUUAUUUUUUAUUUUCAGAAAAAAGAACUUUUUUUUCAAUUUUUUUUUGGAAAAAAAACAUUUCUUUUUCAGUUGUUUUUAUUUACUGAAAAUAAAUUAUUUUUUUCAAAAUAAAAAAUUAUUUUCAGAAGGAAAAAAAGUAUAUUUUCAUUUUUUUUUAAAUUGACUAAUUUGGUUUUUAUUUUGAAUAUGAAUGUCCAAAAUAGGUGUAAGCGAAUCAGAAAAAACCAAUUAAAUCGAUAAUCCAAAUCUAAUCGAAAAGAUUGAUUAUUUUUUGUUCGGUUUAAAAGUCAAACUAAACCACUAAAAGCAUAAAUGAUUUGGUUCGAUUCUCAAUUUUAGUUUUUUGGAAUUGUCAACCUAACUCUAGCAGUCUCAAUUUUCUAUCCUUUAUCUCCCUUAGCAAGAGGGAUUACAUAUGAUGGUGAGACUUAUUGUCAAUUAGUAAGAUUGGUCCAAAGAAUUUGUGUUGGUUCUCUAAUGCAGUCAAUUGCAAAGUAGGGAAUUGUCGAAGUAUUGGAUUAUGGAAUUCUAAAUCGUCCUUUUAAAAUCUCAAUUUCUUUAUCUAUUUAAUUUUUUGGGAAAAUUCUGAAGCUUCGGUAGUCAAUAUUGAGUUAGGGAUGCUCAUAGACAUUUAAUUUUCAUAACCAAUACCUCAUCAUAAAUAAUUCAUAUGUUAUAACAAGUUAUUAAAUCAAAAUAUCAUAAUUGGAUUAGAUUGUUAUAAAAUAGUUAUAAACAAAUUAUUAACCGUUAUAUGCAUAACUAAUUUUAUAAUUAAAUUUGAUUUAAUUUUUUAAAAAAAUGCAAGAAUUUUUUUAUUUAAAAAUAAUUUAUUUUUUUAUUUUAAGAAAAAAUAUUUAUUUUCAAAAAUAAAAAAAUCAUAUUUUUUAUUUUAAGAAAAAAAAAUCAUAUAUUUUUAUUUUUGUAAAAAAAAUAUUUUUUUAUUUUUCAGUUGUUUUUAUUUACUGAAAACAAAUUUAAAUUUUUUUUCAUCAUUUUUUUUUCAAAAUAGAAAAAUAAUUAUAAAAAAAUAAUUAUUUUCAUAACGAAAAAAAUAUUUUCAUUUUUUAAAAAUUGAUUAAUUUGGUUUUUAUUUUAAAUAUGAAUGUCCAAAAUAUAACCGAAUCAGAAAAAACCAAUUAAAUUGACGAUCCAAAUCCAACCGAAAAAAUUGAUUGUUUUUUGUUUGGUUUAAAAAUCAAACCAAACCAAUAAAAACCAAAGUGAUUUGGUUCGGUUCUCGAUUUUAGUUUCUUGGAAUUGUCAAACCGAUGAACCGAACCGAUGAUUAUAAAUACCUAGUUAAUCUUUCUCUGAUUGUCCACCACUACUGUCAUUUUUGUAGGUUAUAAUUGUCUUAUUCGUGAUCAAUUUCUCUCCGUUAGUUUUCAACUUCUUCUUUUUUACCUUUUUUUUUUGUUUCUUCUUCUUCAAUGAUUUUCCUUCUAAUUUUGUUACAAAAUAGUUUUGAUAUGUGUUUGAGGCAUGAAACAUAUUAAUUUAUGUGUAUUGAAAUCUUUUGUUAUUAUUGCUGCAUUUUAUUUGUUAAGCUUUCAAAUCUCUUCUCAAUCUUUUCAUGCAAAGUGUCAACUUUUUUAUUCGAUAGUGAACUUAUUUUAUUAUGCAAUAAAAAGCAUGUCAAUGUUUCGUAUGAAUUAAGAACAACUUGUAAGUUCUUUGUAAAGAAGAGCAUGAAAUAUAUUAUAUGAAAUGUAUUAUUUGAAAAAAUAAUAGCAUAAAAUAUACUGAAAAACAUAAUAACAAAAAAUACAAAUGAAUAUAAUAUUUGAAAAAAAAUGUUGUAAACCGAUCAACCAAACCGAAUAAAACUGAUUAGUUUUGUUUGAUUCCAUUUUUAAAAAACACUAAAAGUCAAACUAAACCAAAUCGGUGGAGAUAUCAUUGGUUCAGACAAUUUUUAAUAAAAAAACCGAUCCAAACGGAAUCAAUUAUACCCCUAAUCCAAAAUAUAGAGUCAUAUUAAUAUCAUAUUCAAAAUAUGGAUUUGGUUAAAACCAUAUUAAUAAUUAAUCGAUUUUUUAAUAUUGAUAUAAAUAAUUUAAAUAACUAAUUUUUUUAUAAAAUUGAUUUACAAACAUAAAAAAUAAAAUAAAAAAUAAAUUAUCUCAAAAUUAAUAUAUUAAAAUAUAGUCUUGAAUAAAACAACUCCGCGGAAUUUGAUCCCUUAAUGAAAUGCAACUUUGUUAUUAUUAGUGUUGUAUUUACAAACUUAAUUUCAAAAACUAAAAAUCAAAACGCCUUCAAAUAAGUCAUAAACAUCUGGAAAAACAAAUAUUGAUGUGAAAUGUUGAGUUUUUAUUGAAAUAGAUAGCACUCUAGAUUUUGCACGAGAAAAACGUAAAUUUUUCUUACUCAGCACCUAAUGAUUAUUUAGAUGCUCCGAAUGAUACAUUAUACUCGGCUUCUAUAAGGAAUGAACAAAUUCUGUUAAUUUAAUGGGCAAGAUACAGCUCUCCUACAAAAGUUAUUAUGUUUGUAGAAGUGGAUUUAUGUGAAUUAAAAUGACUAACCAUAUUUAGAUUUAUGUAGACAGGCAUAAAUAUAUAUUUAAAAAUGAAUAAUAUCUUGUCAUGUAGUGUACACAUCAUAACAUACUCUCAAUGUAAUAAUUUUAUUUAGGAUUCUUUUGCUUGCUCAGGAUCUCCACAACACAAAGUAUUUAACAGAGUUUAAAAGAAGUCCAAAAAAAGGACCACAAGAAGCACAUUUGGAGACUUAAAGACCAUUUUGAUUUUGGGGGCAAAAAAAAAUCUAUCUAGAAUUUGAGAGGCUAACAUAAAAGACCACAGACAUAAUUUAGCCUAUUUUUCAGAUAGAGACUUGGUGGUAUAAAUGGUGAACUUGAGUCUCAAAAGAUAUUAUUGCAAUUAAAAUAAAUAAAUAGAGGCUGUUUUUGUAGGAAUUAGUUCCUACUUAUUAUUAUAUGGCAGUAAAACCUUAGCCAUAUGGCCCAUAGGCAAUUUAUUCAAGCCUUGUCUGUAAUCUCGAUAAGCCUUUCAUUUUAAGAAUGCAAUUUACAAGCCAAAGUGCUUGUCUAAAACUUCUUUGGAUGUGCUGCCAAAACCAUUAGCUAUCUUCUUCAUUUCUUCAAAUUUCUUCAGUUCCUGCCUUAGCUCUUCAUUUUUUUUCUCAAUAGUCUGAAGCAAGACACUUGAGCCAGACGUGCUGGAUUGCCCUGCUAAGUCGGACUUGUCAUUGUCGAGUUGCUGAGAAAUAUUUAGUAAAUAUUCCUUAUGUGUAUGAAGGCUUUCCUCUGCCAGCUUAUAUUCAAACUUUUGAGAUUUUUCAAGAUCCUCCAUAGCCUUAUCAAACUCAGCAUCAAGUUUUGAUAACUCUGAUUCAUAACGAAAAGAUUUUGUUCCUUUUUGAACAUUUAAAUGCUUUAAAGAACCUUCGUCGACAUCUGUAGUUUCCAUCGCAGUAUUGCCGUAACCUGUUGGUAAACAAAAUAUUCAUGACUUAAUCAUAUUCUUUUCGGCAUUUUAUAUACACUUACUUCAUUAGCAUACAACCAGUGCAAAAGUAAUAAGUAAUAUUAUCAGAACAUUUACCUGAAGAAUUAGCUGUAAUUUUGGCACCAACGUUCAAAAUAUCUUCAGUAUCAGUCCCAUGUUUGAGCUGAAGUAAAAGACCAAAUUCAUCAUGAUAUUGUCUUUUAUGAUUUAUUAGAGGAAAAACAAGAAAUUAAUUAAACAAUACCUUUGACAUGGCCGAUGUAAUACGGCUCAUAAGCUCCUUUGCAGUGGUUUUCUCUGAACCGCGCAAGAGGCAAAUAGCAAGCUUUAGAAUUUUUUCCUUAAUAUCACCGUCGUCAUCAUCUGUAUCAAUAGCUUCACAUGUCUGUAGAAGCUUAUUAACAUGAGAAAUGAGUUCAGUCCUCCCAUCACAGCGCCAGCAAAAAUACUCAGCAUCCAAUCCAAUGGUUCCUCCAACCGUGCCAGCCGAAUAAGAUCGAAGAGCGCAUUCCAGAUGACAGACAUGGCCGCAAAUGUUAUCGCCUAGUUUUACUUUGCACAUGAUAUAACUAUAGCCGCCAUAAGCCGAAUCAACUGAUUUGUAACAAAGAAUGCAGCAACAUUCGCGGCAAAAUUUAGAUUCAACGCAACAGAUAUCACACGGUGCAACAGGUGAAUUUUCUAUUUGUUCUUCCAAAAUCAAACUGGUGCAGGUCUUAUUUCCAGCUUUGCAUCCACCAAUGUCAGAAUCAGAUUCAGGCUGCUCUUUCAAUUCUAACUGAUGAAGAAGUCCAUCAGCAGCUACAGGAUUCAUAUUGCCUACAAUGCAGAACAACAACGUAUAAUCAUCUAAAGGUGCAGAAAAGCUUUACAAAACAGUGAUUGCGGUGUGAACUGAUCACAAUUUGUUCUUUAUCAUCAAAACGGUGAAUAGUAUCGGAAGAUGAAGAUUCAGAUACUAAUUAUUCACAAUUUGUUGCGGCGGUAUUCACCGCAACAGAGACUGUUUUUCUAAAUAACAGGUUUGAAUACUCAAAAGCCCUUUGGACUUGGAUUUCACAGAAUCACAAAAUGAGAAGAGAGCAAAGAGAAAUACCAGGAAGACCAGAAGGAAUAGUCCAGCUGAAAGAAGCGAAGAAAUCAACAAUGUUAGCGUCAGGGAAGAACUCUUUGACGUGGCGUUCAACGGCAAGCUUGCUUUUAAAUCCACCGCGGUAAGAGGCAGCAAGACGACGAGGAAGAUACAGAUACCGGUCCCUAAAGUUACCGUUAGAUGAAAUUCUCCUGCCAGCUUUCCACCGCCAAAUGUCGCCGGGAUUCGGAAAGUUUUCUGGCGCAAAAGGUAAACCAUCGCCGGAUUGAUCGGGUGCGACCGGUGCAAGAUUUGACAAGUUGACGCGGCGACCAGCAUUAUCAGAGUUUCCUUCAAACUCCAUCUCUGUUAGGGUUUAUAAGAGCAGAGAGAAUUGAUGUGUUAACUUGAGAUUUUUAUUUUUUGAGAAAUGGAAUUGUGAAAAUGAUGACGAUGGAGAGUGGUGAGAAAAAGGGUGAAGUUGAAAAUGAUUGAAAUUAAGAAUGAAGCGCGAAAAGAGUAAUAAGAGUAACAGCUUCAGACAAAGGUCAUAGAGUUGCUCAAACUUCGCUCUUCGUGCUUUUCAACUUCAAACAUGUUUUAAAAUUUAACAUCCAUCUUGAUUUAAGUGUGAUAUUUUCUAAAUUAUAAAAAUCCUUUUUUUUUCUUUCUAAUUAAUAUACUAGAUGAAGCAAAUUGUUCAAAAGACUCAAACAGGUGUCCAACAAUCAUUCACACAUUUCAAAUUUUUUUUGAUAAAUACUUAAAAGAACGAUUUCGUAACAACUUUUAAGAUGACAUUCAUGUAAUCUGUCCAAAAAAAUUCAAAAAAUUAAUAAACGACUUUUAGAUUAAUAAGACUUAAUCUAUAAUGAAUUGGUAUAGCAACUAUAUAAUAUAGUACACUUAUAUUUUAUAAAUGUUGGAUUCUUGGCAAUCACAUGACACACUUACAAUUUUUUAUUUUGAUAUCUUUUUAUACUAUUAGAUCAUGCACGCAUCUCAUAUUCACGAGUGAUUUAAAGAUUUUGUCAAAUUUUCACACAAGGAAUCUAACAUUAUAAAAAUAUUAGUAAUUUUAUCAAAUAUAUAUUAUAUAAGGGAUAUGAAGUUCUUACUCUCUUAAUAAUGCUCAUCUUACACUUACUCAAGUACGCCAUAACAUUGGAUCAUAAAAUAACACAAUGCAUAAAGUUGUCAUAGCAAAGUCUUACCUAGAAAAGAAAUUAAAAACUUCACUAAUAUUAUGUUUUUUAGGAUUUAUGGACAACCACAUUUCACAAAAUUAACAUCAAUUUUAAUUUCGUACACUUUUGAGCUUAAGAGACAUACAUUGAACCACAAUCCUAGGGUAUAAUAAUUUCAAUGAGCAAAAGACAUAAUCAUUUAAAUAAUUUCAAUGCACAUUCUUAAAAGUUCAACCAAGAUUUGUCUUAUUUUGCUCCUUACUUAAUACUAAUAGCGAUGCCAUAAAGGACACAAUAUUUGCAAAAUUUCUUACAAUAAAAAUUGUGUUACUAAGAAGAAUCUAUCUAAAUUUUAUAUUAUUCGUUGUAAAUAUGCUACGAAGCAGUAAUGUAAAUAAUUUCAAUAAAAAAAAGUCAAUUGUGAAUAAAUAGGUAGGAGCGUACCUGAUGAUUUUGGAUCUGGUCUCCACCACAUAUAUCGGGUUUUGUAAAAAUUACUAGAAGAAUUUAAUUGAGGCAUCAGAUCCUUUGUUGUUCUUUCUAUUGCAGUAUUGAUGGUAGCGUGAUGGAUCUGGUCUCCACCACAUAUAUCGGGUUUUGUAAAAAUUACUAGAAGAAUUUAAUUGAGGCAUCAGAUCCUUUGUUGUUCUUUCUAUUGCAGUAUUGAUGGUAGCGUGAGACCCUAAAUCUUAAGAUCAAACUCGUAAUAAUUUCGCAAAAAUAAAUACUUAACACAUAUCUAGUUGUGAGUGCUAACACAAACGACACUACUGCUGAUAAUAUUAUUAAUUAAUAAAAUCAUAAAAAUAAGUGUUGAGAUUGACAUCUAAUGCAAAAACGCUAAAUCGCAAGCACGAGAUGAGCGAAAAUUAAAUUUCUAGAAUCUUCAUAUAGAUAUAUAUCAAAAAAAAAAUCUAAGGAGGAAGCCAAAUCUUGAAAAUAAAUCUUUUCACUAUUUAUCAUUAUGAAUGAAUAUCUAUCAAAUUUUCAUCAAUAUUUCACAUGUAUGUAGAUAUGAAAAAAGUAGGAAUUUCAAACAGAGGCGACCAAGCCUGAAGUUAAGAGAAGAUGGGGAAAUUAUGGAACUGGUUAACAAAACCUAAUCUAAAAGGGUAUCCAUUAUGUUUUGGGCUUAUGUUUUGGUUAACAAAACCUAAUAUAAAAAUGGUAUGAAUUUUUAAAAAUGGAUCCAUUUGGUUACUGGGUCAUUUAAGGAUACAAAAUUUUAUGAAUAAGCCCAAAGUUAAUCUCAGGUAUUGCAACAUCUUAUUGAUCCUAUAUAAAUAAAUAUAAAUUAAUAAAUUAAGUUAGAGUCUACGAAAAAAAAUAUUUUGAUCACCAUCGAUGGAUUUUUUUUUUAAAAUAACCAUUUUUUUCAAAAAAAAAUCGAAAAUAACCGAUAAUUAAAAAAAACAAAAUAAUCAGGUUUAGAAGAGGAUGCGCCAGAGGAAUUGGCGCACCCCUAACUAUUAAGAGGAGGCGUCAAUAGCAUUGGCGCAUGCAUUGGGCUCCUCAUGAGGAGGCGCCAAUGUUAUUCGCGCAUGCAUUGGCCCUCAUGAGGAGGCGUCAAUGCUCCUGGCGCCUAGGUGCAAUUUGCAAUGUGGGCGCCAAUUGCUCUGGCGCCUGCAUGUCCUGCCAUGUGGGCGCCAAUCCCUCUGGCGCAUGCAUGUCAUGUACAUUUAAUAUUCAGUCUCCAUAAAUACCACGCCUUGGAUCCAAUAUUUUUCACUCAAAAUCAUCUCCUAAUACCAUAAUUUCUCUAGUUCAACCACCAUCACCUUCAAGUUUUUCUUUUUUAACAAUGUUUGCAUACAUUUAGAAACGAAAUGCUGAUGUAAUAUUUUCCAUCGUUGCAACUCCGGUACAUAUUCGACUUUGGAACACAGAUACAUUUGAACGUCUUAAUCGGACGUUGUAUAGUUGGUUAGAGGGAGAAAUUGGAGAGGGUGAAAGGAUUAGAAGAAUACAAUGGCUUGUGUCCAUGUUCAAUCAAAACGGAGAAAUGCGCGAAUGAGUGGUGUCGCACCUCAAAAAAUGAGAACACGACUUAGCGAAGCGCAAUCGCACGCUCACAUGAUGGACUAAACAGAGUCGCCACUGAACUUUAUUUAUUCCUAAAAGGAAAGGGGAAAUAUCGAUAAAACCCAAGAAAGAACGACAAUGAUUAUGGUCAUCGCAACCAAAUCAGGGUUCGGGAGUCGAUUACGCAAGGGGAAGGUAUUAGCACCCCUCACGUCCGUUGUACUCAACGGGAACCAUUAGGUUAAUUGUGUGCGUUAUUGUUAGUUUAGAAAUGUUAGGCGUCUCGAGUUAUUAGGUGGGAAAGAAAUAAAGGGUGAGAGGAGAAUAUUUUUGGAUUUUUAACGAAGGACUAAACCUAAGUUUUUUUAUUAGUGGGUCUGACAAGAUUUCGCAAUCCUGCUCCUACGUAUCUCAAUAGAGAACUUAAGGCUUACGUAGUUCUGGGUAGAAAAUGUUUGUUUGUUGGUCAAUUUUAGCGAAAGCUAUAUUGUAUUAAUCGACGAAAACAUUGUUUUACCCAAAACAGAUGAGGAGCGGACAUAUACCACACAUCGAAUGGAUUUACAAAUCAACAUUCGGAAAAACGUCACUUAUCUCAACUCAACAAUUGUAGCCGAGGCAUUGCUUUACAUCACCUUAAAACACGAUGUCUUUCGUUUUGAAAAGGUUUUUCUGAUCAAUCGCACGGCGGCAAAAAAUAGUUUGAUUGGUUGGAUGCAUUUUUGGGUUUGAAAGACGAAUAUUUAUUACUUGCAAGCUCUUAUAACUUGGGUCUAAUACUCGGGACUACGUCUGGACCUUUCACGCAGGCAAUCUUUUUCUUUCAAUUUUAUUGAGAAAAGACGUUUGAAUAUUUACAAAUAUUUUAAAGAGAAGACGAAUACAUAGGACUUACAAGCUCUUACAACUUGGGCCUAAUAUUCGGGAUUACGACUGGAUAUUCCAUCCAGGGUAAUCUUUUUCUUCAGAUUUUAUUGAGAAAAAUACGUUUGAAUAUUUAAAAAUAUUUUGAAGAGAAGACGAAUACAUAUGGCCUCUAAGCUCUUACAACUUCGGCCUAAUAUUCGGGAUUACGACUGGAUAUUCCAUCCAGGGUAAUCUUUUUCUUCAGAUUCACUUAUGAAAAUAAUUUGAAUAUUGGAGCGUUUUGAAGAGAAGACGAAUACAUAGGGCUUACAAGCUCUUACAACUUGGGCCUAAUAUUCGGGAUUACGAUUGGAUAUUUCAUCCAGGUAAUCUUUUUCUUCCAACUUAUUUAUGAAAAUGAUUUGAAAUUAAAUUAAAAAUGAUUAAUGUACAAAGGUUUGAAAUUAUUGAAAAUUAAGUUGGUAUUGUUUAAAAGUUCAUUGUAAAAAGACCCCAAAAAUAAGUCAAGUGUAAAUAAACAAAUAAGUACAAAGGUUUGAAAUUAUUGAAAAUUAAGUUGGUAUUGUUUAAAAGUUCAUUGUAAAAAGACCCCAAAAAUAAGUCAAGUGUAAAUAAACAAAUAAGUAAAAAGGUAUUUACAACACACUUAAAAAUUUAAAAUGGAAAAAAUAAAAUCUACAAAUAUUUUUUUCAAAAAAUGGAUUAAAUAAAAGGGUAUAAAAAUAAAUAAUAAAAUCAGAAGAAGUUAUAAAAAGAGAAUCAAUAGAAUGAAAAUUAUAAAAAAAAUAAAAACAAGUAAACUUAAAAUUUGCUAACAUCAAGGAUUGAACCCAUGACAUAGUAGAAAGUAGAGAGUGCAUCAACCACCCAGCCAUGAAUGACUAGCUAGAAGGUAGAUGUACUAAUUAAUAUAAGUAACAAAAUUCACUGAAAGUUUAAAAUAAAGGAAAAAAAUAGUUGGACUGGGCCUAGAGCGGGUCGGGUUCAACCCAGCUCAACCUAACUAAAACCAAUAGCAAGCCAACAACCCUAGAAUUCCAAACCUCCGCUCACACUUUGUCUCUUCCAAACAACAUUUCGACGUUCUAAAAGAAAGAAAUAAACGACCGUCCACUCUCUAUCUCUUCCUCACGAUCUGUUUCAAUGAAUCCAACCACAAUCCUUCCUCUCAAUCGAUUUUGGCCCUCAUACAAACUCAAUCGUCCGCUCACACGCUCAUGCUUCCGGCCACUUCAACAGACACACAACGAUAUGGCCUUACCCAACCGUGAUUCUGGCCGUCUUACCCACCGUGAUAAUGGCCAUCUCACCCACCGUGAUAAUGACGGCCAACACUCAACCGCGUUCGGAUGGCCAACACUCAACCACAACAUUUACAUCGAUUGCAAUUUUUUUAUUAAAAUGCAAAACAGAAAGGAAUAGGUACAAAGUGGUUUUAAGGGCACAAGAGGACUACCUGCUAUCGGAAAGGAGGAAAGGAAGCGACUUUGUCUUGCUUUCAGGUAAUUAUGCAGUAGUGUCUUAGUUUUUUUUGUUUUUUCUCUCUGUUUUGUUGGAUUAUAAUGAAUGGAUGAUUUCAAAUUCUGUUGUUUAUGUGUGUGAACUGAAUGGAUUGUUGAGAAUAAAUUUUUUCCAGCCCCCUCAUUUCAAAAAAAAAGAUCCUUUUUAUACUGUGAUUUUAUAGGGUUUGCACAGAGGUAAGGAUUGGUCCUUGCUGUCAAAUUUAUGCCAUUGGUAGUGGGUUCCAAAAUUCUUUCUAAGAGGACAAGCGUUGCCUUAACAUUUUAGUGAAAAUUCAUGUUUUGUCUUAAAAAGUAAUGUACUGCCAUUUGCUUUUCUGCUUGGUUUCUGUUUGCCUUUGUAUUCUUUCCCAAUUGAUGCUAACUUGAUAUUAUUUUUCUGCUCCAAGUCACUUGUCCAAGUUGAUACUAAGGUUGAUGAGCAGAAAAAUGGUCUCACAGAUAACACAAUAGUUUGAAGGGGUUCCAUGCUUUUCUUUUUUUAAAUGUAAUUUGUUAUUGUACAAAAAAUUGUACCUUAUUAUAAUGUAAAAACUUAUUUUUAUAUUUUCUGAAUUUUUUCUAUAUUUGUGAUGUAGAAGAUAAAUAAAAUUAAAUGUAACUAUUUUUUAUUUAUUUUAAGAUAGAGCAAUGACAUUUAUUUACAAAAUGUGACCAAAUAUUUUACUUAAAUCCAAUUAAGAGAAUCAAAAUAAUUUUUUUUAACAAACUUUAAUUAUUAUUAUUACUACUACUCAACAUAAUUUUACUUAAAUCCAAUUAAGAGAAUCAAAAUAAUUUUUUUUAACAAACUUUAAUUAUUAUUAUUACUACUACUCAACAUAAAAAAUCUCUUGCUAUAACCUGAGAACAAUACCAUGACAAGACCAAACAAAUGUAUGAAAACAAUUAAGAGAAUCAAAAUAAAUUAUUUUUUUAACAAAUUUUAAUUAUUAUUAUUAGUACUACUCAACAUAAAAAAUCCCUUGCUAUAACCUGAGAACAAUACCAUGACAAGACCAAACAAAUGUAUGAAAACAAUUAAGAGAAUCAAAAUAAUUUUUUUUUAACAAACUUUAAUUAUUAUUAUUACUACUACUCAACAUAAAAUAGAACCUAAGUAAUAAUUAUGGGCAUGUAGUGUAUGAUAGAAAACUUAUGAAAAACAAAUGUAUGAAUGACAUGGUAAAUGAAAAUCUUAUUAUAAAUAUGAAUGCUUAUGAAUGAAAAUCCUAUUUUUUUUUUAUGUGAAUUGGUAAAUAAAAAAAAAUCUAAAGAAAAUUAAAUAAAUGUCAUUGAAAUGAAAUUAAAAAAAAAGGAAUAAUUUAUGAAUAUGAAUGAUUAAGAAUGAAGGUCAUAUUGAAAUAAAUAAAAAAAUUCUAAGGAAAAUUAUGCAAAUACAUGCCAUUAAAAAAAAGAUUGAAUGAUUUAUGAAUAUGAAUGAAUGUCUUUUUUUUUAUGUGAAUUGGUAAAUUGAAAUAGAAAAAAUUCUAAUGAAAAUUAUGCAAAUAAAUGUAUUAAAAUGAAAUUAAAAAUUUUAAAAAUGGAAUAAUUUAUGUCAAUGAAUGGAUGCGAAUUGAUAAAUACAUAUGCUUGAAAUGUAAAUGAAUGCCUUUAGGCGGGGUAAAAUUUAGGGUAUGACAAGUGGAUAUUAAGAUCGACCAAGAUGCUUGUAGGAUGAUGCAUUAUAUGUUCAAAAUUAUUUUGAUAGUUGGAAUCACAUAGUUCUUGUAUUCUAGUUAUUAUAAUUAUUUGUGUUAGUGUUUAUGUAAUGGUACUUUCGUCACAAACGUCUAAUAUGAAAUAAAUUUAGUUUUUCAUAUAUUGCAAUAGAGGUACAUGUGAAUUUAUCUGGUUGUGCUCGUUCCAACACUAUGGCAGUUAUUACGAUUGUGACCUGGCUGACGGCAUGAACUACAUAGUCUAACCAUUUUGUUCACCGUAUCCAUUUCGGUUCAAAUCCGGGUGCUGUUUGGGCGACUCUUUUUUUUCCUUCACAUAACUUCGUUGUGCCAGACGAUGUCCCCUUGAUAUUCUGGCCAAUAAUCCUCUUUUGCCACUACGGAAAAACUAAUUUAUAAACAUUUGAAAGGCUGACGACUUUGUAAACUUCAGAUAGUAAGUAUGAUAGAUCUCUUCGAACCUUUGAGCAUGCCGCAAUUACAUGGGAGCAGGGGGUACGAAAGGCUUGGAACUUUCCGUAGUCGCACCAACCUCUAUCUAGUUCGACUCUAUACUAUCCCAUCGGUAUGCCCUCAUUGUGACUCAUGGACUCGACAACAUUAUACCAACCUUUAGUACGGUCAAAGACCGUAACCACGUGUGUGUUUACUUUGAUAGCUUCAUAUCUGAUGAAUUUCAUUGAAGCAUCACUGAACAACUGUCCAGAUUGCAACACUGAACUACAUUUUGAGCGUCUGGUUUCAAACAACGCCCCUAGCCUGAAAUAUGUUGCCAACACCAAAGCGGUCAUAGGUAGGUUACGGAUGCCUUUGAAGACAGAGUUCAUAGAUUCCACAAGAUUUGUUGUCAUGUGGCUCCAACGCUGACCGUUAUCGCAAUCCAUUCAUACCAUAUACUCAAACACAAUACCAAGAAUCAAACCCCAUAGCCACAAUCGUCUAAAGCCCAUAUGAUUCAUAUGGGUCACUUCAUCGUAGCCCCCCACCAAUGACCACCCAAACAUCUCAUCAACAUAACACCCAACCAUUGUUUAACUAUAGUACGCCCCACGAACCAUUGCUUCGUUUCUAAAACGACUCAAUGACCCAAUUUGGGCAACUAUAUCGUCCCCAGUCCACCCAACCCCAACAGCCUAACUACGAUGUCAUGGGCACCGAACUCCAUUACGGAAGUGUCGCUGGCCAGAUCCCCUCCAGAUAUUGGGAACAAAUGAUGACACAUCUGUUAAAUACCGCUGGAAUUUCCGCUGGACCAUCCCACCAGCCAUCGCUCGAUCAGGUCAGCACACAAAAAUCUCAAACACCUCAAGAAAAUCGUGGGAGAUCUCGGAGACAAACUAACGCACCUGGAUGUAGAACAGGGGGACGUUAUAAUCGGGUCGGUCAUUGAUUUAUUGUCAGUCCAAUGUAACCAAUUAUUACAUCAUCAAUAAAUUUAUUUAUUUUCUAUUACUAUUUUUUAUUUAUUAAAUAAACAAAAUUAAAAUUUUAAAAAAUACAAGGGGUGUAUGCGCCAGAUGAAUUGGCGCAUACACCAUCCAUUGCACAAAGGAGCCAGGAGCAUUGGCGCCUCCUCAUGAGGGCCAAUGCAUGCGCCAAUAGCAUUGACGCCUCCUCAUGAGGAGUCCAAUGCAUGCGUCAAUGCUAUUGGCGGCUCCUCUUAAUGGUUAGGGGAUGCCCCAAUUCAUCUGGCGCAUCCUCUUCUAAACCUAAUUAUUUUGAUAUUUUUUUUGAAUUAUUGGUUAUUUUCGAUUUUUUUUAAAAAAAUGGUUAUUUUAAAAAAAAAUCCAUCGAUGUCUCUUUAAAUAUUACAAACAAAGCAAAAUAUUAUGAAAAAAAACAGGGUUCAAUAAUUCAAGUUCGGUAAUACAAAUGUUUUCAAUGGAAAACUUAAUUUCUAGUGAGCAAAUGGCAAACUAUGUACGUCAUGCUUGAUGAAAAAGACUUUUGUAAUGUAGUCUUAUCAAAUUUCUAGUUUAGUAGAGUCAAGUCUUCACGUAGACUAGACCAUGUUGGGGUAAAUUAUAAGGAUGACAUUCAUGUAAUUUGUCAAAAAAAAAAAUUCAAAAAACUAAUAAACGAAUUCUAGAUUAAUAAGACUUAACCUAUAAUGAAUUGGUAUAGCAAGUAUAUAAUAUAGUACACUUAUAUUUUAUAAAUGUUGGAUUCUUACAAUCACACGACACACCUACAAUUUUUUAUUUUCACAUCUUUUAUGCUAUUAGAUCAUGCACGCAUCUCAUAAUCAGAAUUGAUUUAGAGAUUUCGUCAAAUUUUCACACAAAAAAUCUAACUUUAUAAAAAUAACAGUAAUUUUAUCAAAUAUAUAUUAUAUAAGGGAUAUGAAGUUCUUACUCUCUUAAUAAUGCUCAUCUUACACUUACUCAAGUACGUCAUAGCAUUGGAUCAUAAAAUAACACAAUGCAUAAAGUUGUCAUUGCAAAGUCUUACUUAGAAAAGAAAUUAAAAUUUUUACUAAUUUUAUAUUUUUUUAGGAUUUAUGGACAACCACAUUUCACAAAAUUAACACCAUUUUUAAUUUCCUGCACUUUUGAGUUUAAGAGACAUACAUUGAACCACAAUCCAACAUAAUUAUGGCACAAUAAUUUCAAUGAACAAUGGUAAAAUACAUAAAAGAUAUAAUCAUUUAAAUAAUUUCAAUGCACAUUUUUAAAAGUUCAACCAAGAUUUGUCUUAUUUUGUUCCUUACUUAAUAGUAAUAGUUAUGCCACAUAUGACACAAUGGUUGCAAAAUUUCUUACAAUAAAAAUUGUGUUACUAAGAAGAAUCUAUCUAAAUUUUACAUUAUUCGUCGUAAAUAUGCUACGAAGAAGUAAUGUACAUAAUUUCAAUAAAAAAUGUCAAUUGUGAAGAAAUAGGCAGGUGUGUACCUCAUGAUUUUGGAUCUGGUCUCCACCACAUAUAUCAAGUUUUAUAAAAAUUACUAGAAUGAUUUAAUUGAGGCAUCAGAUCCCUUGUUGUUCUUUCUAUUGCACUAUUGGUGGUAGCGUGAGACCUUAAAUCUUAAGACCGGACUCGUAAUAAUUCGCAAAAGUAAAUACUGAACACAUAUCUAGUUGUGAGUGCUAACACAAGUGACACUACUGCCGAUAAUAUUAUUAAUUAAUAAAAUCAUAAAAAUAAGUAUUGAGAUUGUCAUCUAAUGCAACAACACUAAAUCGUAAACACGAGAUGAGCGAAAAUCAAAUUUCUAGAAUCUUCAUAUAGUUAUAUAUGACUAAAAAAAUUCUAAGGAGGAAGCCAGAUCUUGAAAAUAAAUCUUUUCAAUAUUUGUCAUUAUCUACAAAAUUUUCAUCAAUAUUUCACAUGAACGUAGAUAUGAAAAAAGUAGGAAUUUCAAACAGAGGCGACUGAGCUUGAAGGUAAGAGAAGAUGGGGAAAAUAUGGAACCGGUUAACAAAACCUAAUAUAAAAGGGUAUCCAUUCUAACUAGAACAUUUCCUAAUGCUAAGAUGCACAUUAAGACUCGGAGGAUACCAUCCAAUAUACAAAAACGUUGAAGUAUCCUAGUUUUGACAUCAUACAAAAUACAUAUAACUGGAAGUUGCACUCACAUACUCUCCCUUUUUAAUGAUGAAAAAACUUGAGACGGUGUGUUUUGUGUCUUCAUGAAGGGCCCCCCUGAAUGUAUGCAUCCCAACUUCAUCUUCUUGAUGCUUGUCCCCAUUUGACAACAUCAAAAAGAGACAAAGUAAUCCAUAAAAAGUAUCUUAUAUCACACAUAUACUGAUAGAACAUACAUAGGCGUUUGCAAAAAUAAGAUCAUCAAUAACACAUCACUCAUGUAGAAUGAUGUAAAUAUUGAAAAUGCCUAAACAUAAAUAAAAGCAAUUUAAGCAAUAAUAUAACAUAGUUACCGAAAAUCAUGCCAAAUAACACAUACAAUAAACAUAAAAGAUGAAUGAUACAAUGAAAUAAAAAAACUCUUAAAUUGUUUCAAAAGUGACACAUUUACAAAAGUGACACAUUUACGUGACAUAUACCUUUGGUGUUCCCGAAUGCUACACAUAUAUGCUCCAUGAUAAUGAUUUAAGUGUGAUAUUUUUUAAAUUAUAAAAAUCCAUUUUUUCUAAUUAAUAUACUAGAUGAAGCAAAUGGUUCAAAAGACCGAAACAUGUGUCCAACAAUCUUUCACACAUUUCAAAAUUAAGUCUUAACACAUAAUGAAUUGGUAUAGAAACUAUAUAAUAUAUUACACUUUAUAUUUUUUAUACAUUGGAUGCUUAGUAAUCCCACCACACACCUAUCGUUUUUUAUUUUGACGUCUUAUGCUAUUAGAUAAUGCACGUAUCUACGUAUCUGAUACUCACGAGUACAAGAAAUCUAACAUUAUAAAAAUAUAAGUAAUUUUAUCAAAUAUUUAUUACAUAAGGGAUAUAAAAUUCAUUUAAAUAUUUAUACCUUACUCUGUCAAUAAUACUCAUCUUACACUUAUUCAAUUACAUCAUAGCAUUGAAUCAUAAAAUAACACAAUGUAUAAAAUUGUCAUAGCAAAGUCUUCCCUAGAAAAGAAAUUAAAAACUUCACUAAUUUUAUGUUUUUUUAGGAUUGGUAGACAACCACAUUUCACAAAAUUAGCACCAAAUUUUAUUUCCUACACUUUUGAGUUUGAGAGACAUACAUCGGACCAGAAUCCAACAUAAUCAGGGUAAAAUAAUUUCAAUGAGUAGCGGUAAAAUACAUAAAGGAUUUAAAUAAUUCCAAUGCUAAUUCAUAAAAAUUCAACCAAAAUUUGUCUUAUUUUGUCCCUUACAUAAUAGUAAUAACUAUGCCACAAAUGUCACCAUGUUUGCAAAAGUUUUUACAAUAAAAAUUAUGUCAGUAAGAAGAAUCUAUUUAAAAUUUACAUCAUUCUCUAAUUUUUGUAAAUAUGCUAUGAAGUAGUAAUGUACAUAAUUUCAAUAAACAAAAAAGAGUCAGUGUUGGAGAUAUAGGUCGGUGCGUACCUGGUGAUCUUAGAUUUGGUCUCCACCACAUAUAUCAGGGUUUAUAAAAAUUGCUAGAAGGAUUUGAUCGAGGCAUCAGAUCCUUUGUUGUUCUUUCUAUUGCAGUUUUGGUGAUAGUGUGAGAGCCUAAAUCUUAAGACUAGACUUGUAAUAAUUUCGCAAGCGACACUAUUGCUGAUAAUACUUAACACAUAUCUAGUUGCGAGUGCUAACACAAGCACAUUAUUGCUGAUAAUAUUAUUAACUAAUAAAAUCAUAAAAAUAAGUGUUGAGAACGAUAUAUAAUGCAAUAAUGCUAAAUCGUAAGUAUGAGAUGAACGAAAAUCAAAUUUCUAGAAUCUUCAUACAAAUAUAUAUCAAAAAAAUUCAUCUAAGGAGGAAGUCAGAUCUUGAAAAUAAAUCUUUUCAAUAUUUGUCAUUAUGAAUGAAUGUUUACAAAAUUUUCAUCAAUAUUUCACAUGAACGUAGAUAUGAAGAAAGUAGGAAUUUCAACCGAGGGGGCUGGGUUUGAAGGUAAGAGAAGAUGAGAAAAAUAUGGAACUGGUUAACAAAACCUAAUCUAAAAUGGUAUCCAUUAUGUUUUGGGCUUAGAUGCGUCGGGUUCGAUUUUUUCAUAAAAAUGGUAUGAAUUUUUUAAAAUGGAUCAAUUUGAUUACUGAGUCAUUUAAGGAUACACAAUUUUAUAAAAAAAUCCAAAGUCAAUUUCGGGAAUUGCAACAUCUUAUUGAUCUUAUAUAAAUAAAUAUGAAUUAAUAAAUUAAGUUAGAGUCUAUGAAAAAAAGAAAAAUUAUUUUGAUCUCCAUCAAUGUCUCUUUAAAUAUUACAAACAAAGCAUAAUAUUGUGGGAAAGAAACAAGGUGCAAUGAUUCAAAUUCGUUAAUACAAAUGUAUUCAAUGGAAAAUUUAAUUUCUAGUAAGUAAAUAGCAAACUAUGUAUGUCAUGCUUGAUGAAAAAGACUUUUGUAAUGUAGUCUUAUCAAGCUUCUAAUUUAGUAGAAGUUUAAUAGAGUAAGUCUUCAAGGGACCUGACCAAUAUUGGACUAAAUUAUACUGAAAUAUGAGAUUUAUAAAUUUACUAGAUAAUUUUUUUUUCCAAAAGGUUAAUAGUUUUUAGCACAAAAUAUAUCUGAAAAACUUUCGAUAGAAAAUAUUGGAGUUUUACGUUUUCCUUAGUUUUUUAAGAAAGCUUGCUCAAUUGAUUUUCCGUUGAUUUCGUUGAUCUCUUGUCUCAAAAGUUUUCUAUCUUUUGUAGUGAUGUUAAUAACCUACAAAUAUGUUGCCUAUUACUUUGAAUUAUAAUCCAAUUACCUGUGAACUUUAAGUGUAUACAAGACCUUAUUAUUUAAAUGUUUUUAUUUCAAUGUUAUAAAUUUUAGGAGUUUUAAAAUAAAUUUAUGUUGAUUAAUGGUUAUUGGGAGGCAGGUUAUAGAUUUGGUAAAAACACUGACAAUAUGUUGCACAAUGCGGCAACACCACCAGAACAUCAAUAUUCAGGUAGACAAUGCAAUAAGUGUGAGCCCACCUAAAAAAACUUAUCCAUUAAAUCUUAGAGGAUACCUCACCAUCCUACUAAAUUUAUAUACAUAGGGUGGUUCCUCCGAUUUAGUUUCUAUUAGCCCACUAUAGUCCAAGACAACAUUGAGUAUGUUAAGAAGUAUGACAAGUGUAAAAUAAUAUGAAGUAUGGUCAAGUUGUUUUUGGUACAUAAGAGGCACAUGUGAAAGAUGAUGUUCUAACAUGUGUGCUGCAAACAUCUGAUCUCUGACAACAAACAUAUUUUAUUGCAGUUUUGAUUCAGAUUUAUAUAAUCCAAGAUUCACUUUUUAAAGAAACUUUGCAGUUCAUGAAGAGAGUUAAUUUGGAUGUUCUGGUGUAACAUAUGAAACACAAUGUUCUAGCAUGUGCGUAGUGCAACAUUUGGUCUUUGUUAGCCGGUCAUGAUGGAUUUUGUUAGGAGAGAAAUUUCUGAUUGAUUUCAAUCAGAUUUGUUGAUGUAUUUUAGCAGUGUAUUUAUGUGGAUUUGUUUGUUAAAGAUUGGCAAAGAUCAAAUCAAUUUAAAUGGAGAUUUAAAUUUGAUAACAAAUCAUAUAUUUUGAGAUUUUUGUGGAAAACAAAAAUCAACAAAAUCUUCUAUAUUCUGGACGAAAUCAAAUCAAAUUCCCAUUGGAAAAAUACCAGAAGAAACAUUGUAAUUUAAGGAUACUCAAGCCUCAAGUUUGAGGUGUUCACAUUUUGAAGACUCUUUGUGUUAGGGUUUCUAUUUUUGAGUCUUUGUUUGAAUUAUUGUUGUGCACCACUCUAGUGCUUGAAUUCACAUUUUAAGGCAUAUAGUUUGGUUUAUUUGUUGAGUUGUAAAACUCUCUUCUGAGAUACUAAUUCUAUAAGAUUGAGAACAAAGUAUUUGUGUUUUGUGUACACCAUAUUAUUGAUUCAGUAAUUUGACAUAGUUGUUGGUUUGUCUUAGUUGAGUUGUAAAUUCAACAUUCAAUAUCGUUAUUAUUGAAGAUGAUCACUUAGGAUUAGUGAUUGAGAUAAAGUGAGAGUUUAUCAUAUUUAGGAGAGUCCUAAAUAGAAAGUCACUAGGAUUAGGAAGAGACUUUGAAGAUCAUGGGGUUGGUUUUCUUAUAAGACUAAUUGUACUAAUUCAAACUAGUGAAUUUUCUUUCUUGGGAGAUUUCCCCCCAAACGUAGAUGGGGUUUCACCAAAUUGGGUUAACAAUUUCUUGUGUUCUUUAUUUCUUUAAUUGUUAUUUACUAUCUAUCUUGCAAAUUGUUUUUUUAUAUACAAUGUCCCAAACAUCGUGUCUGAUAUCUGUCCCCAGAAUAUAUCAUCUGUCAUAAAUCAAUCGUACAUCUUGUCUCACGCAUUUGGUCUAAAAUUCGUCCUUACUUGAAUAAAAUUUUAAAAUAGUUUAAUGUAUAUGUGAUGCAAAAUAAUUAACAAACAAAUUUAUAAAAUGAUCUAACAACAAAACAAACUAAAUAAAACAUUCAAAUAUGGUAGUGUUUUCUAAACACACUCGUUUCACAUGUGUGAAUUAAAAUUGAAGAGUUCCAAAAGCUAGAGAUUUCAAGAGGCCCGACCGGAAACACAUCAUUUUUAAAUAAGCUUGUAAGUUUAUUAAAGAAAAAUAAGUCAUACAAAAAUAUCAAUCAUGACCAUUACAAAGAGAAUGUAAAAAGGAUAAAACUUAUCCAAAAAGAAUUUUUACGUCAAAGAUAGACUUAAGAGAGUCAUCUUAAAUUUCCACACUCGGAUUCUAAAAGUGAUUUGUCUUGACUAUUGAUUCAAAUCCUUCUUAAUACUUAAUGAAUUCAUAAAUAUUAGACCAUUGAUCAUGAAUUUAUUCUCCUCGUCAUGUUUAUUGGUGUAACGAUAAAUUUUUUGAAUUAAGUUAUUGAUUAACUUAACUCGCAAAGCAAGAGUCACCACCACGCUUUUAUUGUUUCCAUAGGAAACGAGAAAAAAUAAGAAAAAAAUUCAAAGAAGUUUUAAAAUAAAACUAAUAAAAAAGAGAACAAGGGUUCGGGAGUUAGUUAUGCAAAGGGAAGGUAUUAAUACCCUAAAUAUUCGUGGUACUCCAUGAGAAUCUCUUUGAAAAUAUAUACAUUUUGGUUUGAAAUAGGUGUUGUUUAUUAAAAGAUUGGAGAGAUGGGAAAAGAAGCAUAUUUUUUCUUAUUUUUCAUGUUGUGUUUGCCAAGACUUUUGAAGUUUCAUGCCUACAUACCAACAAAGUGUAAUGGAAGAUCAAAACCUCGUAGUUCGUGGUAAGAAUAAAAAAAGGAGUUUGUUUUGA